rnacentral:lncRNA from 1 species
CUCACAAUUAAUCCGACUACACACGAGCUUCUCUCCCUGGCCAAGACACAAUCAUAGUAUGAUGAAGAACAUGGCACUAGCCGGCAAUGGUAUGAAGAAGUUAAUCCUCGCUGUUCUCUUACUCUGUCUAGUUAUAGGGCAGAUACAAGUGGAAGCUAAGAGCUGCUGCCCAUCCACCACUGCAAGAAAUAUCUACAAUACCUGCCGUUUCGGGGGUGCAUCCCGUUCAAUGUGUGCAAAACUGUCAGGCUGCAAAAUUAUCAGUGGGAACAAAUGCAAGCCCCCUAACGACCACCUCACCCUUGACCCGGACACUGGUAAAUAAUAAAUUUAUCUCACUUGAUUUCUUCGUGAUUUGAGUCGUUAAUGUAUUUUCCAUCUGAUGAAACGUAUUGGUUUUGCAUUGAAGAGGAAGUUAAUGUGCUUAACUUCUGCAAGUUGGGGUGUGCGUCGUCUGUGUGCAACAACAUCAACGCUGGUAAGCACCUUUUGCUCAGACGGAGAAAACAAUAAUCAUUAAUUAGCGGCAGCUAGAAUCCUAUAAUCUAAUAUAUUUAUAUAUAUAUAUAAUUUUAUCAGCUCUGGGAAAUGAAGAGGCGAACGAUGCCGUUGAGAGUUGCGACCAAGCCUGCUCUAGCUUCUGCAGCGUGCAUGUUGGCAGCGCCACCGUGGUUGCUUAAGCAAAUGCAUGCAACUAGAUCGUCCUUGUGCUGAAUAAUUGGAUAUCGUAUCCACUUAAAGCUGCCUUGUGUAGUACGUCUUUGUUUGUGUCUCUCUUUAUAUUCCACUAAGGUCGGUGAUCUUGAUGCCACACACACUCAGAUGUGUGUUCAUCUCCAGAUACUACUCCAUGCUACCUGCCCUUUUUGUUUUGUUCAAUAACUGGGUAUCAUAUCCCGGCCAGUGUGCCAUCUAUUUUGUGUUUGUUUCCUUCUAGUUCCAAAGGGGUCAUCAUGAUGUUACCUUCUUUCGAUAUGGUGCUUUGCAUGACAACUGUUGUAUGGUACCAUCUUGUUGGCCAAUAAAUACAUCUUAUCCUAUGACCCUUUGCUAUGACCCUUUGCAAAUAAGUACAAGAUUGUUAUAAGCGUCAAUACUCAGUAUAAUUGAUCGCUGCUGUGAGUUCCCUUUCAGCUUAUCGUAGGCACACAUUAUUGCUAGCACGGUAAAGACAACCAACACGAAUGAUGAAGUAAACGUAGCGGUACUUUUGUAUACCAACACCCUUACUUAAAUGUACUGGUGUCAUUCCCUACUGGCACAUAUAUUCUUAUAUGCUAGCCAGAUUGGAAAAUUAACCAAUUAAAAUAAUUAUUUCAAGAUAGAAAUAACUUAUCGGCUUCUCGAAGCAUGUGUAAUUUUAAUUCAAGGACUCAAUGGAAGUUGAAUCACUUCAUCUAGAUUGCCUUCUGGAUUUUGGUUAACUAAAUUUAACAUUUGUGUCGGGGGGAAAUAUUAACGAUUUUCUUACGCUCUCUAAUUAACGGAUACAAGGGCUAGGGCCCACCCCUAAUACCCAUAAUCUCCGCUAACAACACAUCCCAGAGGCACUCCGCUCCGCCUCGCCCGACUUCAGGGUCGCAGGGUCGGACGUGCCCGACCCCCCAAGGCCUCGCCUCGUCUCAGCCGAUGGAGUUCCGCCUCGCCCGACCCUGAGCCCAACGGAUCGGACGCGCCCGACCCCUCGAAGCAGGACUCCGCCUCGCCCGACCCUGAGCGCAAGCGGUCGGACGUGUCCGGUCCCACCUGACAGAGCUCCGCCUACCCGAAGGUACGAGCAGGUCAUCAGACGGAAGCGCGGGCUCUGUGAGUCCCCCUGGGCUCACCCAACCGAUGGGACCGCGCAAGCUUCCAGAUACAGUUCUGACACAUGGAGAGGCGCCCGCGUUCCUCGACAUGACCUGUCAAAAUGUUGGUCUGCGCACUGCUGCCACGACUGCACAGGGCUACACCUGCACCGUCCUACCCCACUGUGACAUCUGUCAUAGGGCACUCAUCGCUCAUACCAUCUAAUGGAGGAGGGAAAACCGCCUAGUUUUCCACGUGGGCUAGCAAGAAGAGCACGUCAGCCACGCCGCCCCGUCAGGGUGCAUGGCUACAGUGGUUGACCAUCACCCGCGACGUGCACAGUCACAGUGGCCAGUCGUCACCACCAACUUGCACAGCUACAGUGGUCGGCCGCCAUGCACGACUCGCGUGUCCGGCUACAGUGACCGACCGCCGAGUCACCGAUGGGACCCAACGGCAACCCCUAUCCCUUAGUAGCAGUACCGACAAGACGCAGAGACAAGAAGGGAAGACGACGUCUCUAGUAGCCCCACUUGCUUCCCUUUUUACCUUUCUACCUGUUUACCUUCCUUACUCCCGGCUCAUUUGUAACCUCUGUAUCCUCCUUGCACUAUAAAAGGAGACCAGGGGGUCUGAGGGCAAGGGACCCUCGGAGACCGAACCCCGAAUUCACCCAAGUACAAACCAACCGAACCACCAGACGAGAAAGACUCACAGAGAUCUGGGAACCAGCUUCCCUCUCUCACCUAUUUGUAGCCUCUACUCCAGACUUGGUACGAGUAACACGAGCAGCCACCCGCACUGGACUCCUCCGCCAGAAACUGGUCCAACCAGUCGGGUCCCUCCCCCUGCUCUUCGUCCUCAUCAUCCUCAUCAUCGUCGUCCUCAUCCGUUGCCGUGUCUGGCCCCUCCGCAGCCUUCAGAACUCCGCUGCAGCUUUCUUUUUCUUCCUCACCGUCUCCUUGUCCUUCCUCUUCUUCUGUGCUUCGUCGAGGAGGCGGUUCCGCUGCCUCUGCACCACGUCCUCUGGCACCGGUGGACGGGAGGCUGUGACAUGGUUUAAGUUACCCUGCAGAUUCGAAGACUCCGCGUCAGAAUAGCAAACCAGGAAAUGCAGGAAAGAAGAACGAGAGUGCAAAUUUCUAACCAGCAGGACAUAGGCCUCGUCCGGGCGCAUCGGAGGGUGCCCCGGCACCGGGAACACGACAUCCCUGUCACCCAAUGCAUCCCGGACACGCUGCUCGAUCUCGGCGUCGGCAAUUGCACCCGUCGCAAGGACGGUGCUGUGGUACGCCCCAACAACUCCGGCCCCGGUCAGGCCCUCCUCCUUCAGAAGGUUGAUGGCUUCGAGGAGACCCCGGAUAUUCUUCUUCUCCUUCUCAACAGGGCCAUAUGUCCACGUUCCCGGUGCCUCCACGAUGACGCGGCCAGUGAACUCCGUCAAGAGGACAUCGGGGCGGUUCUUCACAUAGAGCCACUGCUGAUGCCACCCUUUGUGGGAUGACGGGGUCUUCAUCGAUGUAUACUCCUUGGGCCGAUGGCCACAGAGGUGGAUGCCGGCACACCCCAUCAGCAUCGGAAUCGUCCGCGUCUGGUUUCCUCUCUUCUCGGUCCUCUGAUGAAGAGUGACAGCGAAGAAGUACUUCCACAGGGCGAAGUUGGGCUCGAUCCCCAGGUAUCCCUCCCAAAGCACGACGAACGCCGCGAUGUGCUGGAUUCCGUUGGGGUUGAGGUGCUCCAGCUCAAUGCUAUAGUAGUGCAGCAGCCCCCGGAAGAAGCGACUUGGGGGAACCGCGAACCCCCUCUCGUGGAAGUGCGCGAAGGAGACGAUGUACCCGUCCUCCGGCUGUAGCACGGCCUUGUUCCCGGGAUACCGCCACUCGUUCUCGGCGAUCCUAUCGCGAAGAAGGCCCUUCUUCACGAGACCGAUCACGCGCGCGGUGUUGAAGAUUGACCAAGACCUUGAAUCCAUCGCCGAGGAAGGGGAAGGCUCGACGGCGGUGGUGGAAAGGUGAAUGCUCUGGCUCGAAAGAGGAUGAAAAGUGAACAAGGAGGCGAGAAAGGCUGAAGACGAGUGCGGAGCGGAGCAAGCAAGGUAAGCUCUCUCGUUUUACAGGGGGCGUGCGAGAAACGAAAGGCGAACCGAACGCAUUUAUUGCGACGUCAGGUAUGCCCCAUCGCCUCCGCCUUUCUUCGGAAACCGUACGCAUGAUUUCUUUUUAACCGCAGGGAACGCUACGCCCCCUCGCCCCACGAGCCCGGUGUUUUUUGCCGCUUCGUCUCCUGGAGGUCAUGCGCACAACUUCCUCCACAAGCGGCCCAGGGCCCGCUUCAGGUAAAAAAGGGAUACAGAGCUGAAAACACUCUAACGGCCCAUUACGGUCCAGGGGUUCGAAGGCUGGCCCUCUAGAGGGUUCGACAUCCACCCCAGGACAUUUCUUGAGCAAGGGGUGAGAAGGGACGGGUCCGCUAGCGACCACUACCCUGGUGAACAAAAGCCAAGGGCGUCCCGACCUCACAUUUGAGUCUCGAUUGGCGUUUAAGUUCAUGGUUUUUCCCCGAAGAAAGGCAAAGUGCCCCCGGAUCCGGUUGAACAGACCUGGGAACUAUAUGAACUGGCCGUCCGAAAUCUGGAGUACGCCACCAGCUUGGCCCAAGCCGGACCCGCCCGAACAGGGACCGGGACUCCACUCGAACUGACCCGUUAGCAGCUCACCGAGCACCAUGGUUCGUCCGAUGAGGAUAACAUGGCACGGCUCACCCCCUCCGUCCCAACGAACGGACGCUGAGGGGUAACGACUAAAAGACGAUCCGACCUCUCGAUCGGUCCCCUGCAAUGCGCGGGGGCUCGAGGGCUGGAAUCACAACGAAACGACCAUGCGCAUGGUUACGACUCGGAAUUUUGAGGCAGGAAUGGUCAUUGAAACAAUAGGGAAUCUUCCCAAACCGUACCAUCCUCAGAACACUCUGGCUACCCAAAACUCCCCGGCCAGGCCAAACAAGCAAAACUUUUCUCCUGAUCAAAUCAAGGUACAUGUUAAACAAGACCCCUGACAAACACUCUGCCGAGAGCCAAUCACAGCCUCUGGAGGAGCACCUUGCUCCACCAAAGGCUCGGGGCCUACUGUCAGGGGGAAAUAUUAACAAUUUUCUUACGCUCCCUAAUUAAUGGACACAAGGGCCAAGGCCCACCCCUGACACCCGUAAUCUCCACCAACAACACAUCCCAGAGGCACUCCGCUCCGCCUCGCCCGACUACAGGGUCACAGGGUCGGACACGCCCGACCCCCCGAGGUCUCGCCUCAUCUCAGCUGAUGGAGUUCCGCCUCACCCGACCCCAGGCGUAAGGGGUUGGACGCGCCCAACCCCUCAAAGCAGGACUCCGCCUCGCCCGACCCCGAGCGCAAGGGGUUGGACACAUCGGAUCCCACUAGACAGAGCUCCGCCUCGCCCGAAGGUAUGAGUAGGUCAUCAGACGGAAGCGCGGGCUUUAUGAGUCCCCCCAGGCUCACCUAACCGAUGGGACGCGCACAAUUCUAGAUACAGUUCUGACACGUGGAGAGGUGCCCGCGUUCCUCGACAUGACCUGUCGGAAUGUUGGUCUGCACACUACUGCCACGACUGCACAGGGCUACAACUGCACCGUCCUACCCCACUGUGACAUCUAUCAUAGGGCACUUAUCGCCCAUGCCGUCUAACGGAGGAGGGCAAACCGCUUGGUUUUCCGCGCAGCCUAGCAACUACAGCACGUCAGCCACGCUGCCCCGUCAGGAUGCAUGGCUACAGUGGUUGACCGUCGUCCGCGACGUGCACAGCUACAAUGGCCAGUCGUCACCACCAACUUGCACAGCUACAGUGGUCGGCCGCCAUGCACGACCCGCGUGUCCGGCUACAGUGGCCGACUGCCGAGUCACCAAUGGGAUCCAACGGCAACCCCCAUCCCUCAGUAGCAGUACCGACAAGACGCAAAGACAAUAAGGGAAGACGGUGUCUCCAGUAGCCCUACUUGCUUCGCUUUUUACCUUUCUACCUUUUUACCUUCCUUACUCCUGGCUCAUUUGUAACCCCUGUGUCCUCCUUGCACUAUAAAAGGAGACCAGGGGGCCCGAGGGCAGGGGACCCCCGGAGACCGAACCCCGAAUUCACCCAAGUACGAACCAACCGGACCACCAGACGAGAAACACUCACAAAGAUCUGGGAACCAGCUUCCCUCUCUUGCCUGUUUGUAGCCCCUACUAUAGACUUGGUACGAGUAACACGAGCAGCCACCCGCACUGGACGUAGGGCUAUUCCUGCCCGAACCAGUAUAAACCUCGCGCCCUCUCGUACAACCAUCCAAGCCUUACGCGUAGAGAAACAAAUUUACUAAGCCGGUAGUCUUGACCCGUGAUUCGUGAGACCGACAAUUUGCACAUACAAAUGUUAAAGUACAAAUGUUAAAUCUAGUUACCAAGCAGAAUACGAAAUAGCGGGCUAUAGUGAGGCUAUAGCGGCGCUAACUGCUGCAACAACAGUGUUGUACUAAUUAGCAGGCUAUAGCGGAGCUAUAGCGGUUGAGCACAGCUCUACGCUAAAUAUCAUAGCCCUCAAUUUUGUACAUUGUAUAUACUAUAUAAAUCUAGUUAACAUUUAGUCUAAAUGUUAAAUCGAGUUACCUAAAAUCCUGAAAGCAAAAUGUAUAAAUAUAUAUCUUUUAGGGUAGUAUAAGCUUCGAUUCCUUUUGCUGCUCUGUUAAAUCUCAUCUUUCGUUGUAGCCCAACACUCUAGUAUUGAUUUUGCACCAAGCUUCUUUGAGCCGCUCUGCCCUCUGAUUUUGCUGCGUAGGGGAAUCUUUAUCAGGUUGGGCUACUUCCAGUCGUGCGAUGUAUACCUUUGUAUCUUCUAGAAGGUAGACAGAAAACCCGCGUUCUCUUAAGGCAACAACCAGAAGAUUCUGCAGCGCACGGGGCAUAUCAUUGUUGUAGAAACGACCUUUAGUAUCGAUCUCCAACCCCUUAUAGUACUGGUUUUGCAACCAGUACCGUUAUGUCGGACCUUUAGUACCAGAUCAAAUAACCGGUUCUAAAGGGACUCCUUUAGUACCGGUUGGUAACCAGUAUCAACUUGUUUUGCGGCCAAAAAAAUAAAGAAAAAAAUAGCCAGAAGGCUAGCACACACACACAUCCCACGAAAUAUGCGCGUGCGCGGUCCAUGGGAUUCGAACCCAUGAAAUCAAGCUGCGCGCAACCCUUCGUUACCAUCUCACCUUCAGUACCGGGUCAUAACACCACCCGGUACUAGUAUCGGAUGCUGUAAUGACUCGAUACUAAAAGGCCUCUAGGGACCCUCAAAUUUGGACCCGAUACUAAUGCUAACAUUAGUACCGGGUCAAAGUGCAGCCAGUACUAAAGCAUGGGACGAAAGGUCAUAUUUCUAGUAGUGUAUAGUUGUUGUGUAGGACUGACUUGGCUGUCCUCUCUCUUCUCCAUCCCAUUGGUCUUACGCCGCCGCUCGCACGCGAGCCGGCACCCAACCAGAGGAGUGAGAGCUAGGGGCGGGUUGGGAGGUGGGGGUAGCGACUGGUGGCUAGGGUGAUGGUUGAUGUUGGCGGGGUUAGGGUUUCAUGGUUUUCAAGCUACCUACGGCCGGCGAACCUAGAGGAGGAGGUCGACAUCAGCUGCAACCCGCGGUGGUGGUGGUUUGGCCGGCGCCCCAGGCGAGGCAGCGUGGGAGUGCUGCUGGCGGGUUGGUGUUGGCGCUCAUUAUUGACACAUUUUUAGUACUAUUUUGUUCAUGGAAUAACACUCAAACGUGCUGGUGCUGCUGCCGCCAUCGCCGCCCUAGCCAUAAUAUAAAGGCAAAAUUUGCUAGAGGACAUGCAAAAUGAUGCUAGUUUGCUGGAGGGCACCGUUGACCAUGUAAUAUGCUACAAGACACUCUAGUUGUUCUAGAGUGUAUCAAUUUGCUGAAAGACAUUGCUACGACUAAAAUAAUGUUUCUGGACUGAGUUGGAGAGAGAGAUGGAGUGAAAUGUCUGUUUUGCCCAUGACCCCACUGAUCAGAUCCUUCUUCUUCCACCCUCCUUUCUUCUUUCUUCAACCAUUACCCAGCUCUAGUGUGUUGCAGAUCUACGAGGGUGGCGGCCCGGGGCGAGGGGCAUCGCUUGCCCUCAGACGAGCGCCGCGAGCGACGGCGCGGGGGCAGCAACGGCGCGUCGGAACCUGACCGUUCGUUAGCUCCUCUCGCUGCUGGGGAAGGAGGGGGAGGGGCCAUGGACGGGGUUCCCUCGAAAACCUUAGCCUCGAGCUCAGGCGGCUACGCGCAGGCAGCACUAGGCUCUUCGCGGGGAGGGGGCGCGGCCAAUCAUUGGCACCCCACUGGUCCAAUGCUGAUGAAGAUGGUGCCAGCGUCGUGAAGAUGGUGCCAGCGUCGUGUGAGGACCUCUCAUCUCCUCGAGUUCCAUGGCCAGCACAGGUGAGCGUCCGCUACCACAAAACAGAGGUGUCGUGAGAGUCAAAAAAACUCAUGAAAAUAGCUAAAACCAUCAUGAAAAUAAUCCAUGACACGACACUCUAACGAAAAUCCUCUCACAAAUAUGGUGCCAUCAAAAUACCAUUUUCAUGAGAGUGAACUGUCAUGAUUUUAUUUCGUGAGAGUAUUUCCUAUCAAUGACCUCCACGAAAUACUUUGUGCCACCAGGUCUUCAAGAUCAUUUUCAUGAGAGCCGAACGUCACGAAAGGUCCGCCACAAAUGUUUUUCCUGGGAGCCUCUAACUCUCAUCAAAAGCAUGUGGGCCGCCGCGAAAAACAGCCUGACCAAAUGACAAUUUUCAUUUUCAUGUGCUCUUACCGCCAUGAAAAUGGUCAUUUUCAUGAGAGUUGAUGAAACAAAAAAAUAGUGCCAUUUUCAUGAGAGUUCAAGCAACCAGGAAAAGGCACUAAUAAACAUCCAGAUCCCAUCCAGCACACAUCCAUGCACAUAUAUAACCCACAUAUUGCUCCAGCAACAUCCAUGCAUAUACAAGAUCCAAAUGUCUUGGUAUGAACCUACAUGCAUGUGAUGAACCAGUAACCUGCAAAAAGAGCUCAUAGGAUCUUGUCCUCAUAUUGUAGCUGUGAAAUUCUUGCAAGUAGUGUUGCAAUCAGUUCACUUUGAACCAAAAGAGCUCAAAGGAUCAUGUCCUCAAAGUUCCUCUUAAAGCUUAUGGGUUUGCUGGUGGAACUGGAAGGGCUUGAUGCAGCAUGCCAUUCUGCAAUAGAGAAAAAUUUAGAAAGCUGUACUAGUUAAAAUUGGAUGCAGCAGAGACACAUGAAACUAGUAUUUAUACAAUUCUAUAUAUAUAAUAAUUUGUCCCCUAAAUUUUUAGGAUCCUCUCGACGGUGGUGAGUCUUCCAGUAAGGCAAUUGAAUGUCCAUCGUGAUAAAAUUCUCCUUUGGAUUUAUCAUCUUCUCAACCAGAAAUCCUAGGAGUUCAUCCUUAAGCCUUACCAGUUGUAAUUUGGAAAUAUGUGAAAGUUAAACGAACAAUUAAAAUCUAAGGAUCCUUAUCAUCAUUUCCAUACGUUUGCGAAUUAAAAUAAUGAAGGAUACAAUGUUAGGUGAAAAUUCAAGAAACAAAAUUUUGUAUAGAGAUAAUGGUCCGACAUUAUUACAAGUUAAAGUUGUUUUAAAUAUCCUUGUAAUCUUCCUUUGGUUUCCUCGACGAUUCCAAGACAGUAACCUUGCUUCUAUCAAUGAUAAUUAUAAGGAGAACCCAAUGAAAACUGUGUAUUCAUAUUAGAACUAACUAAGGUUAAUUCGGAUAGGAAAGGAAAUCAAAAAUAGAUGGUACCCACACUUACUUAAAGUUGUAGGGUAGUAGUAUGUAAUGCUUGUAAUUCUGUUGCUCCAAGAAUUUGUAUAUGUGGUUCAAUGUAGACUUUGGUUGAUCCUGUAUCUGCUGUUGGUUGAAUAAGUGUUUCUAACCAUUUCUAGCCGUUAGAACUGGGACUAAAGGGAGCUCUUAGUGCUGGUUGAUAUUACUAGUCGGGACUAAAGAGCCCCCGUUAGAGUUGGUUUUCGGACGUGGAACUAACCACUCCUUUAGUCUCAAGUCCAAAAAUGAUUGAGACAUUUGUUGCUGGAUGGAACACUAGUAGAGAAUUGGCUUUCGAUGCGCCCCCUUUUGUCCCGGUUUAAAGUUGGACUGGGACAAAAGAGGGUGCGCCACGGUAGGUAAAAAUGGAGGGGGGAGUUAGUCCCGGUUGGUAAUUGCAACCGGGACUAGAGGCCCCCCUUUAGUCCCGGUUGCAAUGGCUAGCUGGGGGGCGUCGGUGGCGGCACCUUUUUGUCCCGGUUGGAGUCUCCAACCGGGAUAAAAGGUCCACCCUUUUAUCCCGGUUGGAGGCUCCAACCGGGACAAAAAGUUUAGUCCCGGUUGGAGCUUCCAACCGGGAUAAAAGGGUGUCCCUUUUGUCCUAGUUGGAGCCUCCAACCGGGACUAAACUUUCAACCGGGACAAAAGGUGUGGUUGGAGUUUUUAACUGGGAUAAAAACUCAUCCCCCAUUAUAUACCAAGACAGAGGACUUUCUUCCUCCUCCAGCCCGAGCCAGUCCAGCACAUUCACAGAGAGUUGACCUUCACCUACUCUCCGGUGGUGCCGAAGCAAGGAGGUGCUGCCCGAAGUUUUUUCCCUCAUUUUCGUGGGAAUUUCACUCAGCUAACACAAGUGUUGUGAAGGUUUGCUACUUCAUCCUCGUUUAUGCUUUGAUUUAUGCUUUGGAGAUGGAAAGAUUAUUUGUUAGAAUGUGAUGAAGUAGAAAAUGGAGAGAAUAUUUUGAGCUAGAAUGUGAGGGAGAUUGAUGUGUCAUAUAUAGUAUGCAUUCUUGCAGUGGUUUAAGAAUGAUGCUACCUUGUCCAGACAAUUUAUCUUAUCAAAUUCAAUAUAGUUUUUCAAAUCCAUACUUGUUGAACUUGCAUACCGUGUUCAUCUCUACGAGGAUAUUCUCUGCCGAGCAGCAACGUAUGUCAAGAAGGAGGUUCGAUUCUACGAGGAAGAGUGGAUACGGACAUCGUGACCGUGUCCCCUUUUCCGUAGCAUCUAACCUCUUUCAUGAUGAAGUGCGGUGCCGCCCAGUUGAGAACAUGCUCGCGAGAUGAACACAGUAUGCAAGUUCAACAACUUCUGCAGUAGUAAGGAAAGAAUUUUUGUACAUAGAUGACUUCUGCUACUUGUUGAACUUAUCAAAUUCAAGAAGGUUUUUCAAAUCCAUACUUGUUGAACUUGCAUACCGUGGUCAUCUCGCAGAGGAUGUUCUCCGCCGAGCAGCAACGUAUGUCAAGAAGGAGGUUCGAUUCUACGAGGAAGAGUGGAUACAGACAUCGUGACCGUGUCCCCUUUUCCGUAGAAUCGAACCUCUUUCAUGACGAAGUGCGGUGCCGCCCAGUUGAGGACAUGCUCGCGAGAUGAUCACGGUCUUUAAGUUUAACAACUUAUGCAGUGUUAAGGUAAUAAUUUUUGUACAUAGAUGGCUUCUGCUACUGGAGAAAGUGGCGAUGGUGGGGGUGAUCGUGGUUCCUCUUUCGGCAAGGGGAAAAUCAUAGUUGGCCCUCAGCAUAAGCCAAAGAAAAAGAGCGCACUGGAAAAAGCAAUGCUUCGUUAUUUGCAGCAACGUCAUGAAGAAGUUGUUGCCGCGGGUCAGGAACCUCCUUUUGGUCGUCGUUAUGCUCCACCCUUAGUCCCGGGUGUUUCACAUCCACUUAGUACUACCGUUUCAGGCGGCACAAAUAAACCUAAGGAUGAGGCUAGGUCAGCGGAACUUUCGUCUUCACUGUCCAAGGAUGCUUAAAGUCCUCCUAGAUAAUAACCAGUGGAUGGCUUGUUGUAUUGUAUCAUGUUGUUUGGAUCUUUAAUUUAAAUAUGUGUAUUUGGAUCUUCAUGUUGUUGUAUUGUACCAUGUUGUUUGGAUCUUUAAUCAAUUUUCACACGUAAUCCAUUGUCAAGUGUAAUCCAUUUUCAUGCAUAAUAAGAUGCAGAUGGACCGGCAAUGGAUGUAUAAUGCAGACAGGCAGAGCAAGGUGUUUAUUGAUGGCUUGCAUUAUUGUCUCGAAGUGGCCAAAGCGAACAAGCCAGAGAAUGGGUUCGUAUGUUGUCCAUGCUUCCAAUGCAAUAACAAGAAGGAGUAUUCAUAGGAUUCCUGGGGGACUAUUCACAGCCACUUGUUUAAAUACGGUUUCAUACUUAACUAUUUGGUUUGGACCAAGCACGGUGAACGAGGGGUCGUAAUGGAAGAUGGCGAGAAGGAGGAGGAAGAUGACACCAUUCCAGACUGGGUUGUAGGCCAAGCUUUUGCAGGUACUACAAUGGGCGAGGCUCAUGAAGAUGAGUUUGCAGAAAAUGGCCCUAUUGAUGACUUUGGUCAGGUGAUACGAGAUGCAUACAGAGAUUGCGAAAUUGAGAAGGAAGCAGCAAAGUUGCAGCGCAUGAUAGAUGAUCACCAAAAAUUAUUGUACCCAGGUUGCCAGCUGGGCCAUAAAAAACUAGGUACGACACUAGAAUUUGUGCAAUGGAAGGCAAAAAAUGGUGUGUCCGAUAAGGCAUUUCAGGGGAUGUUGACCAUUGUCAAGAAGAUUCUUCCCGAGAAUAAUGAAUUACCGUCCACAACAUAUGAAGCUAAACAGAUUAUUUGCCCUCUCGGAUUGGAUGUUCAGAAGAUACACGCAUGCCCUAAUGACUGUAUCCUCUAUCGUGGUGAUGACUACGAGAAAUUGGAUGCUUGUCCCGUGUGCGAAGCCCUGCGGUAUAAGAUUAGGUGAGAUGAUCCUUGUGAUGUCGAGGGGCAGUCUCCCAAUAAGAGAGUUCCCGUGAAGGUGAUGUGGUAUUUCCCUAUAAUACCACGCUUGAAGCGCUUGUUCAGGAAAAAGGCGAAUGCUAAGUUGAUGUGAUGGCACAAAGAAGACCGUAAGGAAGAUGAGAUGCUGAGACACCCCGCAGAUGGGGCACAGUGGAGAUCAAUUGAUAGAGCAUUCUCGGACUUUGAAAGUGAAGCAAGGACAUAAGGUUUGGUUUAAGUACUGAUGGAUUCAAUCCAUUCGGUGAGUUGAGUAGUGGCCAUAGUACUUGGCCUAUGACCCUAUUUAUGUUGAACCUUCCUCCUUGGCUAUGCAUGAAGUGGAAGUUCAUUAUGAUGCCGGCGCUUAUCCAAAGUUCAAAACAACCCGACAACGACAUUGACGUGUACCUAAGACUGUUGGUUGAUGACCUUUUACAGCUCUGGAAGGAAGAAGGUGUACGUGUGUGGGAUGAGGAUAGACAAGAGAUCUUUAAUCUACGAGUAUUGUUGUUUGUAACCAUCAAUGAUUGGCCUGCACUGAGUAACCUUUCGGGACAGACAAAUAAGGGAUAUCGGGCAUGCACCCACUGUUUAGACGACACAGACAGCAUGUAUUUGAAGCAUUGUAAGAAGGUCGUCUACAUGGGUCAUCGUCGAUUUCUCCCUGCUCACCACCAGCUGAGAAAGAGCAGGAUGCAUUUCAAAGGGGCGCCAGACCAUCGUAAAAAACCUGCACACCAUAAUGGAAAGUGUGUCUUCAAGAUGAUGAAGGAUGUAAAUGUAGUCUUUGGAAAGGGUCUUGGUAGCCAACCUAUUCCAAACGACAAUAACGGACAUGCACCCAUGUGGAAGAAAAAGUCAAUAUUUUGGGAGCUACCUUAUUGGGAAAUCCUAGAGGUUCGCAAUGCAAUAGACGUGAUGCACCUGACGAAGAAUAUUUGCAUGAACGUGCUAGGCUUCAUGGGUUUUUAUGGGACCUCAAAAGACACAUUGGAAGCACGACAGGACCUGAAAGCCAUGGGGCAACGAGAUGACCUACAUCCGAAAAAGAGAGAUAAUGGAUAGCACUACUUACGUCCUGCCAGUUACACUCUGAGCAAGGAAGAGAAGGAUAGCAUGUUUGAAUGCUUGAAUAGUAUGAAGGUCCCGUCUAGGUACUCCUCGAAUAUAAAGGGAAUAAUAAAUAUGAAAAAAAAGAAGUUUAUAAAUCUCAAGGCCCAUGACUGUCACAUGUUGAUGACCCAGUUGCUUCCGGUUGCACUGAGGGGUGUUCUACUAGAAAAUAUCCAGUUGCCGCUCGUAAAGCUAUGUGCGUUUCUAAAUGCGAUUUCACAGAAGGCAAUCGAUCCAUCCAAGCUAUCAAAGCUACAGAACGAUGUGGUGCAAUGUCUUGUCAGUUUUGAGUUGUUAUUUCCACCAUCCUUCUUCAAUAUUAUGACGCACUUACUGGUUGACCUAGUAAAAGAGAUUGGUAUUCUCGGACUUGUAUACCUGCACAAUAUGUGGCCUUUCAAGUGUUCAUGGCAGUCCUAAAAAACUAUGCUCUUAAUCGUGCCCAUCCAGAAGGAAGCAUCGCCAAGGGAUAUGGAACAGAGGAGGUGAUCGAGUUUUGUGUUGAUUUUAUUGAUUCAAUUGACUCGAUUGGGGUUCCAACUUCACGCCAUGAGGGGAGGCUCCGAGGAAUGGGCACCCUUGGAAGGAAAUCAAGUUUGAGCAAUGAUACUGAUUUGUUCGACAAGGCACACUACACGGUUCUACAACAGUCAUCCUUUGUGUCUCCAUAUAUUGAGCAGCACAGGCAGAUGGUAGUUUCCAAAAACCCGACCAAAUCCGAUGCUUGGCUUACCCGUCUUCACAUGGAAACUUUUCCCUCCUGGUUGCGCCAACAACUUAUGGGUAACUCUGAGAUUCACCCACAGCUUGCCUGGUUAGCCAGGGGACCUGCUAGCACAAUUGUGAAAUUUCAAGGCUAUGAGAUAAAUGGUUAUACAUUUUACACGAGAGCCCAGGACCAGAAAAGCACGAAACCAGAAUAGUGGUGUCCGCAUACAUGCCAUGGACAGAAAUAAUAGCAAGGAGUCGUAUUAUGGUUUCAUAUAGGAGAUAUGGGAACUUGAAUACGGACCGUUGUACAUCCCUCUAUUUCUUUGUAAUUGGGUGAAGCAAACUGCCGUAACCAAAGAUCAGUACGGAAUGACAAUAGUAGAUCUGAGCAAGACUGGAUACAGUGAUGACCCAUUCGUACUUGCCAACAAUGUGCAACAGGUGUUCUAUGUGAAGGACAUGUGUAGCAAACCCAAGAGAAAUCCAGAAGAGACAUGGGAGCCAAAGUGCCACAUAGUUUUUCCAGGUAGAAGAAAAAUCGUGGGAGUCGAGGAUAAAACAAACCAAUCAGAUGAUUAUGAUUAGUUUGAUGGCAUGCCUCCAUUCGCCGUUGAAGUUGAUCCAAGCAUCCUGCUAUCCAAAGAAGAGGCUCCGUACUUACGCCGCGAUCAUGAUCAAGGAACUUUCGUGAAGAAGAAAUUCUACAACGUUGUAUUGUAAUGCGCUAAAUUUACAUGACCUUUGUGUAGUAAUUGAUACAAUUUUUAAUUUACCCUAUGUAUGAUUUGAUGUGUUCUUAAAUUUGUUAGGUGAAGAUUUAUUAGAUAAACAUGAACAAUGUUAACCACAUACAUACAUGGAUUUUUCUGCGCAUUGAAAUUAUUUAAUGGAAUAAUUUCUUGAUCACAGCGAUGUAGUAAAAUAAAUAUUUUAGAGCCUAAAUGAACUGGUAUAGAAUUAAUGACUAACUCACACUUAUUGUCAAUUUACUCGCUAAUUAAAUAUAUUUUUGCAUGUACAAAAUAUGUGAAGGUUUUUGUUUUUCAUCCUGAAUUGCAGUGAAAAGAUAAAUAAAAUCCAUUUCCAAAAAACAGGCGGGAGAAGAAAACUGGGAAAAGGACCUUUUGUCCCGGGUGCCAACAGAAACCGGGACAAAAAGCCCCCCCCCUUUUAUCCCGGUUGGUGGUGGCACCCGAGAUAAAAGGGUAGGCUCCAAGCCCCACUUGGCGGACGCACCCUUUUGUCCCGGGUCCCGUCACCAACCGGGAUAAAAGGGGGGGCCUUUUAUCCCGGUUGGUGAGGGGACCCAGGACAAAAGGCCCUUUAGUCCCGGGUGUCAUUACGAACCGGGAUAAAAGGGGGGUUAAAAGGCACUAUAGCCCCUUCUACCCCCCACGCCAGUUACAGUUAGCAAAAUUUUCACCAAGAUCCCGCGCGCACUCUGCUCCGUCGCUGCCCGUCCGCCUUCCUCGCCAGCCGUCAUCGUCGUCGUCCCCCAUUGCCCCGGCCGUCGUCGUCCCGCCGGCUGACCGUGCCCAGAUAGCCUCCUCCUCCAUCGCCCCGGCCCGCCUCGAUCCUCCUGCGUCGUGCCCGGCCCCUACCUCAUCGACGCCGGCCACCUCCAUCGCGGGGCCUCAUCGCCGCCUCCAUCCUCGUCGCCACCUCGACGCCCUGGGUCGCCGCCUCGUCGCCCCUCGUCGCUGCCUCGUCGCCGUCCUGCCUCCGCCGUCUCGCCGUCCCGCGCGCCUUCGCUCCGUCGUCGCCUCCGCCGUCCCACCGCCCCAGCCACCGCCAUCCCGCCACCCCGGCCACCUCGUCGCCCCGACCACCGUCGACCGCGCGUGAGGUCCGCCGCACCGGCACUGGCGCCGGGAGUACCGCCUUGCUGACGCAAGCCCACCGGCUUGCGUCAACAAGGGCCUUUUUUAAGUUAGAAAAUAAAUAGAAAGGAGUAGUAAUUAGGUAGAAAUUCAAUAGAUUUUUGUAUAUGUGUUACAAAAUCAAAUUAGUGUAAAUUAGUUGUAAUUAGGUUCGUCGCUCUGCCUAGGUUAGAAAUGAAUCGUGUUUCGUCGUGGUUCCGUCCCCGCCUCCGCCGUCCCGCCACCCUGACCGUCGCCGUCCCAACCUAGGCACCGUCUGUGGUUCCGUCCCCGCCUCCGCCGUUCCGCCUCCAUCGCAAAUUCAUGUUAUUGCUAGAAAUUCCAAUAAAUAUGAACAAAUUAGUAGAAAUUUGGUAGAAAUUAAUCAUUGCUGCGGCCACCUCGCUCCACAAAUUCAUGUUAUUGCUAGAAAUUCAUAAAAAUUCAUGUUAUCACUAGAAAUUCGUACAAAAUUCAUGUUAUUGCUAGAAAUUCGUAAAAAUUCAUGUUAUUGCUAGAAAUUCGUACAAAAUUCAUGUUAUUGCUAGAAAUUCGUACAAAUUCAUGUUAUUGCUAGAAAUUCGUCACAAAGUACUACUAAUUUGCAAAAAUUUGUAUAAAUAUUCCGGACUUUGUGGGAUUCAUGUUAUUUUCUGAUUUCAUGUAUAUACCCUUAUGUACAUAUAACUAAGGAGAUUUCUAUGACUUUCAUGUAUGUUUCAAUCAAUAGUUGAAAUGGCAGACGAUGAGACCGCAAGGUAUCUCAUGGAGCAGAUAAUCGCUGGUGAUGGUAGUGGCGACAACCUUCCACUAUCGUACACCGAUGAAGAGGGCACCCAGGCGGACAUGUUCCUCAACAUGUCCGCCGAUGGGAAUGAAGAGCAAAAGCCCCAGCAACACCUUGCCGGGGCGGAAGGUUCCGGCGAGGUAUAUAUAACGAUUCUUGUAUUGUUUCACACCACCGUUACUACUACGUACUAAUUAACGAAUCAUGAACCGUUAGCCCUCUGGAUCGACGCAAGGGCAGAAGACACGAGGUCGUACAAAGGUGAUGGAAGGGAGGCUUGUCAUCACGGAAGUGAUAGAAGAGGGCAGGCCGGUUGCUCCCGAGAAAGUAGCAAAGAAGUACGUGAGUCAGAUCGGGGCAAUCGUCCGGGACAACGUGCCUAUCAGCAUCAGAGAAUGGAAGGGCAGAAGCACUAAUCCGUACGCCCUCCUGGAGACAGAAAGAAUAUGCUGUGGGAAGAUGUCAAGAGACAUUUCACAUUCACCGAAGGAUAUAUUGAGAAGGAUGUGAAAGCGUGGACGCUUAAGAAGAUGGCUACACAAUUUCCAGACAUUUAAGAAGAUGCUAGAUACCCACUACAUUAAGAAGGGCCGAACUCCAGACUUCAACGCGUGGUCAAAGUUGAGGGACCACUAGGAUGCAUUUGUUGAAUAUAAGAGGAGUGAAUACGAUGUGAAAAAGAUCACGACCAACACAACAAAUGCUAGUCAGAAGGGCUACCAUCAUCAUCUGGGGCGAGAUGGUUAUGGCUCAGCAAUUCCCAAGUCGAGGAAGAUGGAACAAGAUCUGAUUGAACGGGGAAUCGUACCGGCAACUAUUGAAUGGCCCGAACGAUCAAAAAAUUGGUACUACGCUCAUGGAGGCUCCCUGUGCCAAGAGGAUGGGACGUUGAUUUUCAAUAACACAAUACGUUAGAAGGCCAAACAUCUUGUGAAGAACAUUGAAGAUUCUAAGGCUGGGAGGUUGAAGGUGGACCGAGAAAAUGAUGAGCUCACAUUGGCCCUUGGUAAUCCAGAGCACCCAGGAUGUUGCCGAGGGUUCGGGGUCGUUCCGUGGAAGUUUGUUUUCCGAGGCGACAGCGCCUCGUACAGAAGCCGGAAGCGAAGAAAGGAACAGAUCGAGGAGAGCUGGUGGCAGAUGCUAGAAUCCAAAGUGCAGGCACAAGAACAAAGAAUGAUGGAGGAAAUCAAUCGUCGAGUGGCCCACGCAGUUGUGGAGUUGGCCCAAUCUGGAGCAUUGCCGAAUCCUAACAACGCCAGCCCUUCUCAAUGCCUCUUGAGCAGUUAUGCUUCUACAGGGGUCCCCGAUGCGCACACGCCCAGGUUACCCGUGGAGGAGCAACGGUUCCCCGUGGAUGCCAUCACGCAACACACCACAUGUGAGCUGCAUGCACCGGUCGGCAACCUCACUAUUAAGGUAUACUUAUACAUAAUAUUUAUGCAAUCUUGUCAAUUGAUCCACGCCUCGAUAUCGGAGUUUAACUUGUUUACUUCUACUAUAUGUACAGGUAGCGUACGGGAGUGCGUUAGCAACCCUGGCGGGGCAGAGCAGUCAUGGCAUGAAGAUUCCACCUGGCUACGCUAGCGUCCGCGUAGAGCAAAUAGUUGAUAGCCAAUAUGAAGGUCUAGAGCUCGACCUCCCGGGAGGUGACAGGGAAAGAACACUGGCAGAUGCGCUUCAUGGGAUCAUUCUAUGGCGAAAACGCUACAUCAUUAUUCCCGGCACGGAGCCAUCUCCUCAGAGCUCAAGACCACUCCCCGUAGAUCCCCAGCAGCGACCUUCUCCUCAUAGCUCGAGACCGUCAUCUCCUGCACAACCUGCUCCAGGACCGUCCCUUCCAUCUAUAUCAAGGUCUCCAUCUCCACCACAUCCUGGUGGUGGGAGCGACGACGACAAUAACAACACCCCUUCCUGAUCACCAUCGCCGGCACCAAGAGCGGCCCCCAUGAAGGAACCUGCACCACCACUAAAAAAGUCACGAGCACCGCCUCCCAAGCAAAGACAGAGAAAGAAGAAAACAAAGGAGCCUGAAGUGACUCGUAAGGAACGCUGGGAGACAAUGUCUCAUGCGGAACAGUGGGCAGAAAUCCAACAAGAGGCCAGUGAGUGGUUCAAGAAACAAGCCGAAGAAAAAAAAGCAACGGAGAUGCAGCCACCGCCAGUAAAUCGAAGAGAUUUAAACUUUUUUAUCAGGAUGGAAGAAGGAGCCAAGAAAAGGAUACCACUCUUAUCAAACUAUGAACGGGCUUUAGUAAAGGCUGAUGAAAAGGAUAAAAGGAAAGGAAAGUCAUCUUCCAGCGGUGCUGUCCCCGACCUCAGCCAUUUAUCAAAAAAAGAUGCUCAACGGGUAAAAGCAAUGCCCUUGGAUCAACAAGCAGAAGUAUUGAAGUUCAUGCAAGAAACAGGUCUGGGACUUGAUGAAUGCCUAGGGCAAGUUGAGACGCCAACUGCACCGCCCCCUGAGCCGAGAUGGCCUUAUGAGCUAGGCAAACCUCUAGUAAAGCCUUCAUUGGUACGAAAGCUAUCAACAAAGAUGUACGCAUUCCAUCAAUGGUACAUGAUGGCAUCCGCUGACUCAAGGGAGAUGCUCGGCCUGAAGGUAAAACCGAUGGAUUUUCACGACAGAGGCGAGAAAGUGCUGUGGCUAGACUUCAAGGAUAUAUACGAAGUGUACCAUCAUGAUGCCAUAGACGUCUCUCUGAUCCGCGCUUGGGUUCUGUAAGUGUCCGUUUAUCUCUACAUGUAAAUUUUGGCGUGCGUCACCGUACUAACUUCGUCUUCCAUUUCAUGUAGGAUGCUAAUUCAGACAUGCCGCCGAGAGGCGUACCUACAUAUAGGCUUCAUGGAUCCAUCUGUAGUUAACCAACAGCAGAUACAAUUAGCAUCGGAGAAAACCUUGGUGGAAGUAUACAAUUUCCUAGACAAACAAACAUUCAAGGAUUUCAUACUAUUUCCAUACAACUUCAAGUAAGUGUGUGUAUACCGUCUACUUUCGAUGUCUUUUUCCUUAUCUCUACAUGUUAGUUAGCUCUAAUAUGCAUGAACAUUUUACGCACGCAGCUUCCACUGGAUCCUUAUUAUAAUUGAGCCUCAAAGAAGCCACGUCACUGUCUUCAAUUCGUUGAGGAAAGAUCCAGUGGAGCACCAAGAAAUGCAACACAUGCUAGGCUUGUAAUAAUUCUGGACCUUUAUCUCUAUGCAAAAGUUUGUUUCCUAAAUUCUAUCCCUGUUACACUAUAUCAUUCAUUAUUCUAAUCCACAGCGUAUGGAAACAAUUCAUAAGGACACAAAAAGGUCCAUUCAAAGAAAAACUUACAUGGAACACAGACUUCCCGGUACAUAUGAAGUCUGCACAUUUAUUACAUUGUAUAACACGAAUAUUUCAUAACUUAUUUUUUUCCGUAUUGAAGUGCUUAAGACAGGAACUCGGAAAUAAUCUAUGUGGCUACUACAUCUGUGAGCACAUGCACAGUUUUAUGGGACCCAAGGGACUAAAGAUGACGCCGCACAACUUUAAAGUACGUAAAAUAAAACUAUUACUAGUUAAUUAUUUUCUAGCUCCUUAUAUGUAUUUGUUCACGUAACAUUCACAAAUUUCCAAAUUAUAGAUGUUAAAUAUUCAACAAGGACUCUUGAAGGAAGAAAGAGUAGCGGCAAUAUGUGAAGGUCUCAUUGGAUUCCUAAUGGACAAGGUGGUAGAUCCAAAAGGAGAAUUUUAUUUUGAUGGACGACAAUUAGACACUCUGAUCAGCAACACCUCGAUGGGAAGAUUGUAGAUAGAUACUUUGAUUUAUUUGUAUAUAUAAUACGCGCUAAUUAUGAUCGAUUUGUACUAGUUGAAUUCUGUAUAUGAAUUGUGUAUAAGAAUUGUGUAUAUAUAUAGUAACUGUAUAAUUACAAAUCCCAUUCGUUUAAAUACUAGUUAAUUUCAUUCUAAAAAAAUCUCAACUACUUAAGGUUAACAAAAGGGCUGCGGUACUACGUACGUGAUGCAUGCAUGAAAAAUUCAGGCGCCAGGCAGGUGCCAUGCAGGGCAUCAUUUAGUCCCGUUUGGAAUCCAGCCGGGACUAAAGGGUAACCCUUUACUCCCGGUUGGGAAACCCAACCGGGACUAAAGGGGGACCGUUACUCCCGGUUAAAAGACCCGGGACUAAAACCCCCCCUUUUGUCCCGGUUGGCUUAUCCCGGAUAAAUUUUCGGGAGAUAUGCACCCUACCAACCGGGACUAAAGGCCAAUUCUCCACUAGUGGAAGGUCCUUUCUCUACCAUGAAUAUUGCCAGAAAGAAUUGAAAGAGACCGCUUGCUAAAAACAUGUCAUAGAUGCGGACCAAGCUACCAAGGAGGUAGACCAAACAUGAUACACACCAUGCGUACCUUGCUGUGCAGACUAUGCAUGGACAAGAUACCCGACCACAUGUUGGCUUUGGUCACAUCAAAAGAAUCAUGUAGGCCAUUAAUAAACUACUUGAAGCGUCAUUCCGUAUCUUAUAUCCAUCAUCUGCAUUACAUUACAUUAAAUAUUAUUAACUAUUUGAAUAAAAUGAACCAAUUUAAAAAUAAUGAAUUGUACAUUACUACAAAAAGCCCUAGCACUGCCAGUUCCAAAAACAUCAUUGUUGACGGCCGUUAAGUACCAAAUAUGACGGUCAAUAUCCUAAAGAAUAAAGGACAAUUGGCAUUUCUUACACACAUAUUUGGUUUCGAAUAAUGUAGUUCUACAUGUCCUUGGAGAUUAUUUGGGUGUGGGUGAAAUAAUACAAAAAGAAGGAGAAAACACACUCCCAUGGCAAAGAAACAUAACUCCGACCAAUGAGAGAUAGCCACAGGGGCAGCACAUGGAUCCAUGGGCCCACAAACUGCAUCAAACCAUCUUACAAGGCGGGUAGCACCCACAACUGUCAUUAGGACCCACCUGGAAGUCUAGCAAAGAAGAAGGUUGUGAGUGGGGCCACGAGGGGUUCGGUUGAAUCAUCUCUAGCUCCCUUCAUCCCCAGCUGGCGCGUGGCGGUGGUUCAUGGUGUCCCGACAUCGGUUAGAGGACAUUCCCCCAAAUAUUCCUCCUGUAAACCAGCUCUAUGAACCUAUAAAUAGAGGGGUGUGCUCUCCAUUCCAACACACACCACAAGUUGAAGCACUCUCUCCCUCUUUAGUUUCCAAGUUUACGGAGAUAGGCUGGAGUAGCUCUGCUAAAGGUUCCAAGUCCACUUGGAGUUAAGCGUAUGUCUCUUGUAUCAUUAUUUCCUAGAGAGACUUUAUGCUAUUCAAGUUAUUUAUCUUCUUCAUAUAGUGUUAUGCUUAGUUCUUAUAUGCAUGAGUUAGUCUAAUACCCUUGCUCUAUUGAUAUGCUCAGCUUAUGUGCUCGUAUGCUAGUCAUGUACCCUUGCUGUCAUAGUAUAGGGUUAUAUGCUGUCAUGUGUGCCUAUAGACCUUGCUACAGUAUAUACUUGUUGUGUAUACAUACCAUUUGUAUAUACAUUAUUACAAGUUAAGGUAGUUUUAAAUAUCCUUGUGUUGACAACCAAAGCUUGAUCUUUUGUUUCCAUUGCCAGCGGAUUCAUCGGCUCAGAGUAGGAUCAAGACAUCAAGUUGAUGGAGUUCUUUAUAUUUCAAGAGGAGUCAUGGAGUUCUUUAUAUUUCAAGAGGAGUUGAUGGUGCUUUCAAUAUUGCAACCAGACAUCAUUGGCUCUGAAGACACCGAAUCAUCGGAGUUCUAUGAUCAGUUUCGGAACAUGAAGCCUUCAUACUCCGAAACUGGGGGGCCUGUGUUGACACCGAAUUAUCGGACUUCUAUAAUUAGUUUCGGAACAUGAAGCCUUCAUACUUCGAAACUGGGGGGUAUGUGUUUACACCAAAAUUUAGAAAUGUGCUCUGAAAGGAAGGACCUGGGAGAUCUAUUGGCUGAAAUACAAAUCCAUCGAAACUAGCCUUAUGCUAAGAGAUCAGAAUAUUGUACAAAGUCUAGAAAGUUCUAUUUACAUCUAAGUAACUCGAUAACUAGCCUUACGCUAAGAGAUCAGAAUAUUGGACAAAGCCUACAAAGUUCUAAUAUAGGUAACGUAAUGACCAGGUGAGGAUAGUUACAAGCUCGCUUGAGAUCGAAGCCGAUGUAGCCCUGCGCGCAAGAAGAAACUCACCUAUUUCUACUCUACUCUUACUCCUAGGGUUUGAUGGCGUGGCGUCAAAAGAUUGUAUUGAUUGAUUGAUUAUUUGAUACAAAGCUCAUGGGCCUAUAUUUAUACCCUUGAGAAAGCUAAAAUCCUAAUCAGUUAUGACAUGAAUCGUGACAGAAAAUCUAACUAAAGAUAGAUCUCCAUGCUUUCCCUUAUUUGGUGGAGUCGAUUUCACUUCAUAUCGGAUCCCUCCCGAUCUUCUAUCGGCUUCUAGCAUCCGGUCAUCUGCGACUGGCCUUGGUCAACAUCAGGUGUCAACAGACUUAUUUCUUCUACAAGUUCAUCGGCUGUCAGAGCCUUGUCUUAGUCAGUUGACUCUAGUAAAAAAUCGAUGUCAAUACAUGCCCCCCAAUUUUUGAAUAAAAUAUUAUAUUUCAAAAUUCUCUUCUCUUGUCAACAGCUUUUGAAAGAAAAAGAGUCACUGCUGCAAUCAUAAUCUUUUUCCCCGGGUUUUGUGAUAGCACCCUCCUCAUUUUAAGGGAUUCACCAUGUGGAAAUUAUAAUAUAACUGCUUCACCCAUUUCGUUUUCUUCACCAAACCAACUAUUGUCAGCCGCUACAACCAAAAAUCAAUUAUUCCCUUCACAUGCCUAGCGACUGCAUCCAUCACUCAUCGUCACCAUUAGUCUCCAUGUGUCAAGGCUUCUUCAACCAGCAAUGGCGACAUUAUCUUCCAUUCCACAGGUACCAUGUAUCCUAGCCAUUCCUUUCCCCUUUCAACCUGAAAUCCAAUCUAGUCACUAUAUAUCAAACCUGUGUUCUUAAUCAAUACUUGCCCCCUUGUACUUAGAAACACCCUUUUGAUCCCCAUAUCCGAUACGCAAGCAGAAUACUUUCUAGGCCCCAUGGGUAGUGAAGACCCAAUAGAAUCUAUUAAUGCUGAAAUACUUGGACAAAGUCUAGAAAGUUCUAUUUACAUCUAAGUAACUCGAUAACUAGCCUUACGCUAAGAGAUUUAAAUAUUGGAUAAAGCCUAGAAAGUUCUUAUAUAGGUAACUGAAAAGUGUGUUGACGCAAAAAUUGGAUGGUUGACUCCUGCGUACUAACACACGGAACCAGGGAGAAUCUGCUUAGCUACUGUUCGGGUUAUAGCCCUCUCGAUCCGUAGCGUGCCAGUUAAUCUGACCUGCUGAUUGACAAGUAAAAAUGUCAAAUUAAGAGCAAAUCAGCUGGUGUUCCGAAUCGCUCCACGGGACGUAUCAGUAGACAGCCGAUACGGGCAAACGACAAUCAGCUAGAUCAGCCGAUUUGCUCUUGUAUUUGACGUUUUACUUGUCCUUCUCAAUCAGCAGGUCAGAUUGACUCGCACGACGCAGAUCGAGAGGGCUAUAACCUAAACAAGAGCUAAGCAGAUUCUCCCGGGUUUCAUGUCUUAGUACACAGAAGUCAACCGUCUGAUUUUAUCAUCAACACGCUUUUUGGCACGCUCAGUGGGACCCGAUUCAUAUCUUAAUGGUAAUUGGUGAUCAAGUUUCAAACAACGUAUCCACUGGUAGAAAACUGAGCAUUAGUCCCGGUUGGUAAGGGUCAUAUCUCUCGGAUAUCCAUCCGGGAUAAACCAACCGGGACAAAAGGGGGGGGUCUUUAGUCCCGGGUAUUUUAACCGGGAGUAAAGGACCCCCUUUAGUCCCGGUUGGUGUCACCAACCGGGACUAAAGGGCCUGCCACGCCAGGCGCGGGACAGGCCCUUUAGUCCCGGUUGGUGACACCAACCGGGACUAAAGGGGGUCCCUUUAGUCCCGGUUGGAUUUCCCAACCGGGACUAAAGGGGUCCCCUUUAGUCCCGGCUCAAUUCCAACCGGGACUAAAUUGCGCUUGCAUGGCACUGGUGACGCCUGAAUUUUUCAUGCAUGCAUCACGUAUACGUAUAGUAGUACCGCGGCCCUUUUAAUUUGUUAACCUUGUAGUUGAGAUUUUUUUAGAAUGAAUUAAAUCAACUAGUAUUUAAACGAAUGGGAUUUGUAAUUACACAACUACUAUAUAUAUACACAAUCCUUAUACACAAUUCAUAUACACAAUUCAACUAGCUUAAUUAGUACAAAUCGAUCAUAUAUACAAAUAAAUCAAAGUAUCUUCCUACGAUCUUCCCGUCGUGGUGUUGCUGAGAGGAGUGUCUAAUUGUCGUCCAUCGUAAUAAAAUUCUCCUCUUGGAUUUACCACCUCGUCCAUUAUGAAUCCAAUGAGACCUUCACAUAUUGCCGCUACUCUUUCUUCCUUCAAGAGUCCUUGUUGAAUAUUUAACAUCUAUAAUUUGGAAAUUUGUGAAUGUUACAUGAACAAAUACAUAUAAGGAGCUAGAAAAUAAUUAACUAGUAAUAUAUUUAUUUUACGUACUUUAAAGUUGUGCGGCGUCAUCUUCGGUCCCUUGGGUCCCAAAAAACUGUGCAUGUGCUCACAGAUGUAGUAGCCACAUAGGUUAUUCCCGGGUUCCUGUCUUAAGCACUUCAGUGCGGAAAAAAAAUAAGUUAUGAAAUAUUCGUGUUAUACAAUGUAAUAAAUGUGCAGACUUCAUACGUACCGGGAAGUCUGUGUUCCAUGUAAGAUCUUCUUUGAAUGGACCUUUGUGUGUCCUUAUGAAUUGUUUCCAUACGCUGCGGAUUAGAAUAAUGAAUGACAUAGUGUAACAGGGAUAAAAUUUAGGAAAUAAAUUUUUGCAUAGAGAUAAAGGUCCAGAAUUAUUACAAGCCUAGCAUGUCUUGCAAUUCUUGGUAGUCCACCGGAUCUUUCCGUAACGAAUCAAAGACAGUGACGUGGCUUCUUUCAGGCUCAAUUAUAAUAAGGAUCCAGUGGAAGCUGCGUGCGUAAAAUGUUCAUGCAUAUUAGAGCUAACUAACAUGUAGAGAUAAGGAAAAAGACAUCGAAAGUAGACGGUAUACACACACUUACUUGAAGUUGUAUGGAAGUAGUAUGAAAUCCUUGAAUGUUUGUUUGUGUAGGAAAUUGUAUAUUUCGGCAAAGGUUUUUUCCGGCGCUAAUUGUAUCUGUUGUUGGUUAACUACAGAUGGAUCCAUGAAGCCUACAUGUAGGUACGCCUCUCGGCGGCAUGUCUGAAUUAGCAUCCUACAUGAAAUGGAAGAUGAAGUUAGUACGGUGACGCACGCCAAAAUUUACAUGUAGAGAUAAUAAACGGACACUUACAGAAUCCAAGCGCUGAUCAGAGAGACGUCCAGGGCAUCAUGAUGGUACACUUCGUAUAUAUCCUUGAAGUCUAGCCACAGCACUUUCUCCCCUUCACCGUGAAAAUCUAUCGGUUUUACCUUCAUGCCGAUCAUCUCCCUCGAUUUGGCGGAUGCCGUCAUGUACCAUUGAUGGAAUUCGUACAUCUUUGUUGACAGCUUCCGUACCAUUGCCGGCUUCACUAGAGGCUUGCCUAGCUCAUAAGGCCAUCUCGGCUCAGGGGGCGGUGCAGUUGGCGUCUCGACUUGCCCUAUGCAUUCUUCAAGUCCCAGACCUGUUUCUUCCAUGAACUUCAAUAUAUUUUCUUGUUGAUCCAAGGGCAUUGCUUUUACCCGUUGAGCAUCUUUCUUUGAUAAAUGGCUGAGGUCGGGGACUGAACCGCUGGAGGAUGAUUUUCCUUUUCUUUUAUCCUUUUCAUCAGCCUUUACUAGAGCCCGUUCAUAGUUUGACAAGAGUGGUAUCCUUUUCUUGGCUCCUUCCUCCAUCCUGAUAAAAAAGUUUAAAUCCCGCCGACUUACUGGCGGUGGCUCCAUCUCCCUUGCCCUUUUUAAUUCGGCUUGUUUCUUGAACCACUCACUGGCCUCUCGUUGGAUUUCUGCCCACUGUUCCGCAUGAGACAUUGCCUCAAAGCGUUCCUUGCGAGCCACUUCAGGGUCGACCUUUGUUUUCUUCUUUCGAGGCUGUCUUUGCUUGGGAGGCGGUGCUCGUGACUUCUUGAGUGGUGCUGCAGGUUCCUUCGAGGGGGCCGCUCUUGGUGCCAGCGACGGUGAUCGGGGAGGGGUGUUGUUAUUGUCGUCGUCGCUCCCAGCACCAGGAUGUGGUGGAGAUGGAGACCUUGAUAUAGAUGGAAGCGACGGUCCUGGAGCAGGAGAUGCCGGUCUCGAGGUAUGAGGAGAAGGUCGCUGCUCGGGAUCUACGGGGAGCGGUCUUGAGGUCUGAGGAGAUGGCUCCGUGCGGGAAAUAAUGAUGUAGCGUUUCUUCCAUAGAAUGAUCCCAUGAAGCGCAUCUGCCAAUGUCUUUUCCCCGUCGCCUCCCGGGAAGUCGAGCUCUAGACCUUCAUACUGGGCAUCUACUAUUUGCUCGACGCAGACGCUGGCGUAGCCUGUUGGAAUGUCCAUGCCAUGACUGCUCUGCCCUGCCAGCGUUGGUAACGCACUCCCAUACGCUACCUGUACAUAUAGCAGAAGUAAACAAGUUGAACUCCGAUCUCGAGGCCUGGAUCAAUUGACAAGAUUGCAUAAAUAUUAUGUAUAAGUAUACCUUAAUAGUGAGGUUGCCGACCGGUGCAUGCAGCUCACAUGAGGUCCGUUGCGUGAUGGCAUCCACGGGGAACCGUUGCUCCUCCACGGGUAACCUGGGCGUCUGCGCAUCGGGGACCCCUGUAGAAGCACAACUGCUCCCGAGGCGUUGAGAAGGGCUGGCGGUGUGAGGAUUCGGCAGUGCUCCAGAUUGCGCCAACUCCGCAACUGCGUCGGCCACCCGCCGAUUGAUUUCAUCCAUCAUUCGUUGUUCUAGCAUCUGCCGCCAGCUCUCCUCCAUCUGUUCCUUUCUUCGCUUCCGGCUUCUGUAAGAGGCGCUGUCGCCUCGGAAAGCGAACUUCCACGGAACCACCCCGAACCCCCGGCAACGUCCUGGGUGCUCUGGAUUACCGAGGGCCAAUGUGAGCUCAUCAUUUUCUCGGUCCACCCUCAACCUCCCAGCCUUGGAAUCUUCAAUGUUCUUCAUGAGAUGUUCGGCCUUCUCACGUAUUCUGUCAUUGAAAAUCAGCGUCCCAUCCUCUUGGCUUAGGGAGCCUCCAUGAGCGUAGUACCAGUUCUUUGAUCGUUCGGGCCAUUCAAUAGUUGCAGGUAUGAUUCCCCGUUCGAUCAGAUCUUGUUCCAUCUUUCUCCACUUGGGAAUUGCUGAGCCAUACCCACCUCGCCCCAAAUGAUGGUGGUAGCCCUUCUGACUAGCAUUUGCAACGUUGGUCGUGAUCUUUUUCACACCUUCUUCACUCCUCUUGUAUUCAACAAAUGCAUCCCAGUGGUCCCUCAACUUGGGCCACGCGUUGAAGUCUGGAGUUUUGCCCUUCUUGAUGUAGUGGGUGUCCAGCAUCUUCUUGAAUGUCUGGAAUUGAGUAGCCAUCUUCUUAAGUGUCCACGCUUUGACAUCCUUCUCGCUAUAAUCUUCGGGGAAUGUGAAAUGCCUCUUCACGUCUUCCCACAGCAUAUUCUUUUCUGUCUCUGGAAGGGCGUACGGAUUAUCGCUUCUGCCCUUCCAUUCUCUGAUGCUGAUAGGCACGUUGUCCCGGACAAUUGCCCCGAUUUGACUAACGUACUUCUUUGCGACUUUCUCGGGAGCAACCGGCCUGCCCUCAUCUGUAACUUCGGUGAUGACAAGCCUCCCUUCCAUCACCUUUGUACGACCUCGGGUCUUCUGCCCUUGUGUCGAUCCGGAGGGCUAACAGUUUAAGAUUCGUUAAUUAGUACGUACUAGUAGCGGUGGCGUGAAACAAUACAAGAAUGGUUGUAUAUACCUCGCCGGAACCUUCCGCCACGGCAAGUUGUUGCUGCGGCUGUUGCUCUUCAUUCACAUCGGCAGACAUGUUGAGGAACAUGUCCGCCUGGGUGCCCUCUUCAUCCGUGUAUGAUAGUGGAACGUUGUCGCCACUAUCAUCACCAGCGAUUAUCUGCUCCAUGAUAUACCUUGCGGUCUCAUCGUCUGCCAUUUCAACUAUUGCUGCAAACAUACAUGGAAUCAUACAUGACAGUCAUAGAAAUCGUCUUAAUACAAAUUUGUAUAUAAUCACAGUUCGGAAUCAUACAUGUAUAUAAUGAAAUCAUAAAAUAACAUGAAUCGUACAAAGUCCGGAAUCUUUAUACAAAUUUCUAUGAAUUUAUACAAAUUUCUAUGAAUUUAUACAAAUUUCUAUGAAUUUCUAUGAAUUUCUAUGAAUUUCUAUGAAUUUCUAUGAAUUUCUAUGAAUUUAUACAAAUUUCUACGAAUUUCUAUGAAUUUCUAUGAAUUUCUAUGAAUUUAUACAAAUUUCUACGAAUUUCUAUGAAUUUCUACAAAUUUCUACGAUUUUCUAUGAAUUUCUACAAAUUUCUACGAAUUCCUACGAAUUUUGACGAAUUUCUACGAAUUUUGACGAAUUUCUACGAAUUUCUACGACGGCGAUAAGGGCGGCGAAGGCGGGACGGCGGCGGUCAGGGCGGCGGAGGCGGGACGGCGGCGGUCAGGGCGGCGGAGGCGGUUCACCGGAACCACGGGCGGUGCCUAAGCUACUACGUUGUGAUGGGCGGCAGGACGGCGGCGAUCACGGCGGCUACUCGGCGGCGAUCACGACGGCUACAAGGCGACUGUCACGGUAGCUACUCGGCGGGACGGCGGCGAUCACGACGGCGGGACGGUAGUUAACAACCUAACUACAAAUCUAACUUAACAAACUAACUAGAAAUCUAAAAAUCUAACUUAACAAAAUUAGAAAUCUAAAAAUCUAACUUAACAAAAUUACAAUUCCAUCUAAAAAAACAAAAUUAAAAAUUAAAAGAAAACGGCCAGCUCUCCCGGCGCACCGGCCGGCGCGGCAGACCUCUCGCGCGCGGGGCGGCGGCCGGGGCGGCGGGACGGCGGCGGCCGGGGCGGCCUGACGGCGGCGGCUGGGGCGGCGACGAGGACGAAGACGACGACGGCGGGAUGACGGCGGCCGAGGCGAAGACGACGACGGCGGCCGGCGAGGGGCGACGAGGAUGGAGCUGGCGACGAGGGGCGAUGCAGCCGGCGAGGGAGGCGGACGGGCGGCGACGGGCGGAGAGGGAGGCGGACGGGCGGCGACGGGCGAGGGAGGCGGACGGGCGACGACGACGGCGCAAUGCGGGACUUCGACGGCGCAAUGGGGGACGACGACGGCGGCGGCCGGCGAGGGAGGCGGACGGGCGGCGACGGGCGGAGAGCGCGGGACUUGCGAAAAUUUCGCUAAGUGUGGAACUGGCGGGGGGUAGAAGGGAGUACAGUGCUUUUAACCCCCCCCCCCUUUUAUCCCGGUUCGUAAUGGCACCCGGGACAAAAAGGGCCUUUUGUCCCGGGUCCUGUCACCAACCGGGACAAAAGGCCCCCCCUUUUAUCCCGGUUGGUGACGGGACCCGGGAUAAAAGGGUGCGCUCCCAGCCCCACCUGGCGGGGGCACCCUUUUAUCUCGGGUCCCGUUACCAACCGGGACAAAAGGCCCCCCCUUUUAUCCCGGUUGGUAACGGGACCCGGGACAAAAGGGUGCCCCCGCCAGGUGGGGCUGGGAGCGCACCCUUUUAUCCCGGGUCCCGUCACCAACCGGGAUAAAAGGGGGGGGCCUUUUAUCCCUGUUGCAAAUGGCAACCGGGAUAAAAGGGUACGUUCGGGCGGGAGACGAAACGUACCCUUUUAUCCCGGUUGCCGUUUGCAACCAGGAUAAAAGGGGGGCCUUUUAUCCCGGUUGCUGUUAGCACCCGGGACAAAAGGUCCUUUUUCCUAUUUUUCUUCUCCCGCCUGUUUUUUGGAAAUGGAUUUUAUUUAACCUUUUCACUGCAUUCCAGGAUGAAAAACAAAACCUUCUCAGAUUUUGUACAUGCAAAAAUAUAUUUAAUUAACGAGUAAAUUGACAAUAAGUAUGAAGUAAUCAUUAUUUCUAUACCAACUCAUAUAGCCUGUAAAAUAUUUAUUUUACUGCAUUGCUGUGAUCAAUAAAUUAUUCAAUUAAAUUUUUUGAAUGCGCAGAAAAAUCCAUGUUAGUAUGUGGUUAACAAUGUUCAUGUAUAUCUAAAAAAUCUUCACCUAACAAAUUUAAUUACAAAUUUUAUCAAUUAAUACACAAAGGUCAUGCACAUUUAACGCAUUACAAUACAACGUUGUAAAAUUUCUUCUUCACGAAAGUUCCUUGAUCAUGAUCGCGGCGUAAGUACGGAGCCUCUUCUUUGGACAGCAGGAUGCUUGGAUCAACUUCAACGUCGAAUGGAGGCAUGCCAUCAAACUGAUCAUAAUCAUCUGAUUGGUCUGUUUUAUCCUCGACUCCCACGAUUUUUCUUUUACCUAGAAGAACUAUGUGGCACUUUGGCUCCCAUGUCUCUUCUGGAUUCCUCUUGGGUUUGCUGCACAUGUCCUUCACAUAGAACACCUGAUGCACAUCAUUGGCAAGUACGAAUGGGUCAUCACUGUAUCCAGUCUUGCUCAGAUCUACUAUUGUCAUUCCGUACUGAUCUUUGGUGACGGCAGUUAGCUUCACCCAAUUGCAAAGAAAUAGAGGGAUGUACAGCGGUCCGUAUUCGAGUUCCCAUAUCUCCUGUAUGAAACCAUAAUACGACUCCUUGCUAUUAUUUCUGUCCAUGGCAUCUAUGCGGACACCACUAUUCUGGUUCGUGCUUUUCUGGUCCUGGGCUCUCGUGUAAAAUGUGUAACCAUUUAUCUCAUAGCCUUGGAAUUUGACGAUUGUGGUAGCAGGUCCCCUGGCUAACCAAGCAAGCUGUGGGUGAAUCUCAGAGUUACCCAUAAGUUGUUGGCGCAACCAGGAGGGAAAAGUUUCCAUGUGAUGACGGGUAAGCCAAGCAUCGGAUUUGGUCGGGUUUUUGGAAGCUACCAUCUGCCUGUGCUGCUCGAUAUACGGAGACACAAAGGAUGACUGUUGUAGAACAGUGUAGUGUGCCUUGUCGAACAAAUUAGUAUCAUUGCUCAAACUUGAUUUCCUUCCAAGGGUGCCCAUUCCUCGGAGCCUCCCCUCGUGGCGUGAAGUUGGAACCCCAAUCGAGUCAAUUGAAUCAAUAAAAUCAACACAAAACUCGAUCACCUCCUCUGUUCCAUAUCCCCUGGCGAUGCUUCCUUCUGGACGAGCACGAUUACGAACAUAGUUUUUUAGGACUGCCAUGAACCUCUCGAAAGGCCACAUAUUGUGCAGGUAUACAGGUCCGAGAAUACCAAUCUCUUUUACUAGGUGAACCAGUAAGUGCGUCAUAUUAUUGAAGAAGGAUGGUGGAAAUAACAACUCAAAACUGACAAGACAUUGCACCACAUCGUUCUGUAGCUUUGAUAGCUUGGAUGGAUCGAUUGCCUUCUGCGAAAUCGCAUUGAGAAACGCGCAUAGCUUUACGAGCGGCAACCGGACAUUUUCGGGUAGAACACCCCUCAGUGCAACCGGAAGCAACUGGGUCAUCAACAUGUGGCAGUCAUGAGCCUUGAGAUUUGUAAACUUCUUUUGUUUCAUAUUUAUUAUUCCCUUUAUAUUCGAGGAGUACCCAGACGGGACCUUCAUACUAUUCAAGCAUUCAAACAUACUAUCCUUCUCCUCCUUGCUGAGAGUGUAACUGGCAGGACGUAAGUAGUGCUGUCCAUUAUCUCUCUUUUCCGGAUGUAGGUCAUCUCGUUGCCCCAUGGCUUUCAGGUCCUGUCUUGCUUCCAAUGUAUCUUUUGAGGUUCCAUAAACACCCAUGAAGCCUAGCACGUUCACGCAAAGAUUCUUCGUCAGGUGCAUCACGUCUAUUGCGUUGCGAACCUCUAGGAUUUCCCAAUAAGGUAGCUCCCAAAAUAUUGACUUUUUCUUCCACAUGGGUGCAUGUCCGUUAUCAUCGUUCGGAAUAGGUUGGCUACCAAGUCCCUUUCCAAAGACUACAUGUACAUCCUUCAUCAUCUCGAACACACGCUUUCCAUUACGGUGUGCAGGUUUUUUACGAUGGUCUGGCGUCCCUUUGAAAUGCAUCCCGCUCUUUCUCAGCUGGUGGUGAGCAGGGAGAAAUCGACGAUGACCCAUAUAGACGACCUUCUUACAGUGCUUCAAGUACAUGCUAUCUGUGUCAUCUAAACAGUGGGUGCAUGCCCGAUAUCCCUUAUUUGUCUAUCCUGAAAGGUUACUCAAUGCAGGCCAAUCGUUGAUGGUUACGAACAACAGUGCUCGUAGAUUAAAGAUCUCUUGUCUAUCCUCAUCCCACACACGUACACCUUCUUCCUUCCAGAGCUGUAAAAGGUCAUCAACCAACGGCCUUAGGUACACGUCAAUGUCGUUGCCGGGUUGUUUUAGGCCUUGGAUAAGCGCCGGCAUCAUAAUGAACUUCCGCUUCAUGCACAGCCAAGGAGGAAGGUUGAACAUACAAAGGGUCACAGGCCAAGUACUAUGACCACUACUCAACUCACCGAAUGGAUUGAAUCCAUCAGUGCUUAAACCAAACCUUAUGUUCCUUGCUUCACUUUCAAAGUCUGGGAAUGUUCUAUCAAUUGAUCUCCACUGUGCCCCAUCUGCGGGGUGUCUCAGCAUCUCAUCUUCCUUACGGUCUUCUUUGUGCCAUCGCAUCAACUUAGCAUUCGCCUUGUUCCUGAACAAGCGCUUCAAGCGUGGUAUUAUAGGGAAAUACCACAUCACCUUCACGGGAACUCUCUUCUUGGGAGACUGCCCCUCGACAUCACCAGGAUCAUCUCGCCUGAUCUUAUACCGCAGGGCUUCGCAGACGGGACAAGCAUCCAAUUCCUCGUAUUCAUCACCACGAUAGAGGAUACAGUCAUUAGGGCAUGCGUGUAUCUUCUGAACAUCCAAUCCGAGAGGGCAAAUAAUCUGUUUAGCUUCAUAUGUUGUGGACGGUAAUUCAUUAUUCUCGGGGAGAAUCUUCUUGACAAUUCUCAACAUCCCCUGAAAUGCCUUAUCGGACACACCAUUUUUUGCCUUCCAUUGCACAAAUUCUAGUGUCGUACCUAGUUUUUUAUGGCCCUGCUGGCAACCUGGGUACAACAAUUUUUGGUGAUCAUCUAUCAUGCGCUGCAACUUUGCUGCUUCCUUCUCAGUUUCGCAAUCUCUGUAUGCAUCUCGUAUCACCUGACCAAGGUCAUCAGUAGGGUCAUUUUCUGCAAACUCAUCUUCAUCAGCCUCGCCCAUUGUAGUACCUGCAAAAGCUUGGCCUGCAACCCAGUCCGGAAUGGUGUCAUCUUCCUCCUCCUCCUCGCCAUCUUCCAUUACAACCCCUAGUUCACCGUGCUUGGUCCAAACCAAAUAGUUAGGCAUGAAACCGUAUUUAAACAAGUGGCUGUGAAUAGUCCCCCAGGAAUUCUUUGAAUACUCCUUCCUGUUAUUGCAUUGGAAGCAUGGACAACAUACGAACCCAUUCUCUGGCUUGUUCGCUUUUGCCACUUCGAGAAAAUAAUGCAAGCCAUCAAUAAACACCUUGCUCCGCCUGUCUGCAUUAUACAUCCAAUGCCGGUCCAUCUGCAUCGUAUUACGCACGAAAAUGGAUUACACUUGACAAUGGAUUACGCGUGAAAAUCGAUUAAAGAUCCAAACAACAUGGUACAAUACAACAACAUGAAGAUCCAAAUACACAUAUUUAAAUUAAAGUCCCAAACACUGCAUAAGUUGUUCAACUUGAAGACCGUGAUCAUCUCGUGAGGAUGUCCUCAACUGGGCGGCACCGCACUUCGUCAUUAAAGAGGUUAGAUGCUACGGAAAAGGGGACACGGUCACAAUGUCCGUAUCCACUCUUUCUCGUAGAAUCGAACCUCCUUCUUGACAUACGUUGCUGCUCGGCGGAGAACAUCCUCGGCGAGAUGAACACGGUAUGCAAGUUCAACAAGUAGCAGAAGUCAUCUAUGUACAAAAAUUCUUUCCUUACCACUACAGAAGUUGUUGAACUUGAAGACCGUGUUCAUUUCGCGAGGAUGUCCUCAGCUAGGCGGCACCGCACUUCGUCAUGAAAGAGGUUAGAUGCUACGGAAAAGGGGACACGGUCACGAUGUCCGUAUCCACUCUUUCUCGUAGAAUCGAACCUCCUUCUUGACAUACGUUGCUGCUCGGCGGAGAACAUUCUCGCCGAAAUGAACACGGUAUGCAAGUUCAACAAGUAUAUGGAUUUAAAAAACCAUAUUGAAUUUGAUAAGAUAAACCGUCUAGACAAGGUAGCAUCAUUUUUAAACCACUGAAAUAAUGCAUACUAUAUAUGACACAUCAAUCUCCCUCACAUUCUAGCUCAAAAUACCUCUCCAUUUUUCUACUUCAUCAUCACAUUGUAGCAAAUAAUCUUUCCAUCUCCAAAGCAUAAAUCAAAGCAUAACACGAGGAUGAAGUAGCAAACCUUCGCAGCACUUGUUGGCUGAGUCAAAUUCCCACGAAAAUGAGGGAAAAAAGUUCGGGCAGCACCUCCCUUGCUUGGGCACCACCGGAGAGUAGGUGAAGCUCAGCUCUCUAUCAAUGUGCUGGACUGCUCGGGCUGGAGGAAGAAGAAAGUCUCUGUCUCGGGGUAUAGUGGGGGAUGAGUUUUAAUCCCGGUUAAAAACUCCAACCGAGACAAAAGGAAACACCUUUUGUCCCGGUUGGAAAGUUAGUCCCGGUUGGAGGAUCCAACCGGGAUAAAAGGGACACCCUUUUAUCCCGGUUGGAGGCACCAACCGGGACUAACCCUUUUAUCCCGGUUGGUGCCUCCAACCGGGAUAAAAGGGUGUCCCUUUUAUCCCGGUUGGAUCCUCCAACCGGGAUAAAAGGGUCCCGCCACCGACGGCCCCCGCUAGCCGUUGCAACCGGGACUAAAGGGGGGCCUUUAGUCCCGGUUGCAAUUACCAACCGGGACUAAUGCUCCCCUCCAAAUUCCCGCACCCCGGCGCACCCCCUUUUGUCCCGGGCCACUUUUAAACCGGGAUAAAAGGGGGUUGAUCGAAAGUCAGUUCUCUACUAGUGAUCGGUGACUCCGCUCGAGGAGAAUUGUUUAUAUCAAGCAUAGAAAUGACAACGUUGGAAGUGGAGGAUAUAUUUUGCUCUGUUGAUUUAAUUGCCGCGAGAGUGGCGGACAAGUUCUAAUGAUUGAAGAUCAGAAGCGUCUCGUGGAGAAUUUUUCAGAAGCUAUAUUUGGAAUUAUUAUAUUAUCUCAGGAGCAGAUUAAAUAUAACGCCACCACUGAAAGCCGAUGAGAUGUAUCUAUCGGCUACAUGCUAUUCAGAUGAAUUUGAUGACAGAUUAAUUACGGAGGAGACCGACCGAUACAACAUUAUGGUUUCUUACUGCUGAUCUGUUAUGAAAGAGGAUGUGAGAAGCUGAUAAUCAAGCAACAAUAAAAUGAUAUACACGCAGGGCAUUAAAUAUUGAGUUAAUGAUUGGGAGUACUACCAUUAUCUUAUGAAAAGUCCAUCGGCUAACCAAACAGCGUCAGCCGAUGGAAGCAAAUAGUGUCAGCCGAUAGAAUGAUGUUAUAUAAGUAUAUAUAUCGGCCUCCGAGCCAAUGGGAAGUAGGAACUAUCAGCCGAUGCACACAUCCAUGGACAUAGCCGAUAAGACAUUGUAUCGGCUGCUUGGCAAAUAAAAAUAGCAUCGGCUGACCGCUUGUUAAAAUAUUAUCGGCCGAUUGCUUGGCAAAAUAGUAUUGGCUGACUGCUUGGCAAAUAAAAAAAUAAUAGGUUGACCAAAAAAGGAUAGCAUUGCCUGAUUGCUUGGCAAAUAAAAAAAAUUACGUCGGCUGAUUGGUUCCAGCAAAAUAGUAUCGGCUGCUUGUUGAUCAGAAAAAGCCGAUACUGUUACAGCUCCCGCAACUGUGCUUUGCUGUCAUCGGCUGGGUUGUUCGUGCUCCAUCUGCAAAUAUUUGUCCCGGCUAGAAAGUAUCGUACGUGCAUUGGGAUUCGGCAGUACAAAUCACGUACACGCGUAUGGUCUGCUCAGAAGCUGUCUGUUCGACGAAGUUCCAGGCCAAUGGUGGAGACUUGAUGACCAUGGUGACCUGCAUUAAUCAACAUGAAGUAUGUAUCGGCUGUUCGGUGAUUGGUAGCAAAUCAGCUUUCUCAUAGCCGGUGACAUAUGGGGCAAGAAAUAUCAGGCUUAAAAAAGGACAGUACGAUCAAUGUCGAAAGUUGUAGCCGACGGUUCUAUUAUUGUGCAGUCGAUGGAACAUAGAAGAUGCAUCUGAAUGAGCAAAAGGAAGGGAGCCGAUAGAAGGGAAUUUAAGUUGCAUGAGAUCCAAUUAAAUUAAGAUGACGAGAGGUGUUGACAUCGAAUCAUCGGACUUCUACGAAGUCUUCAUACUCCGAAACUAGGGAGUCUGUGUUAACACCAAAAUUUAGAAAUAUGCUGAUGCAAAAAAAUAAUGAAAUCUCCUAAAUAAGGCUCAAGAAAGAAAAAGCAAGAAAAGAAAAUCAAUCGCACGCGGCAAGAAUUGAAUAAAAUAUUCUAGAGGUAGAGUUGGUUAGGAUAAGCUUAAUUAGGGAUAGAGUUGGAUUAGUUAGAGAUAGUAUUUUGAUUAGAAAAGAUUGUGUACAUGACUUGUACGUGGUGCGUCAGAGGCCAUCCGCCCUAUAAAUAUAAGGGGUCGUGGCCAUUGUAAUUAUCAUCACACGAUCAAUAUACAACAUAUUUAUCUUUUACCUUUUCGGCUUCACGCCAUUGUAUUAGGAGUAGGAGUAAUGUAGCUUCCUGACGAGUUCCUUCUAGCAAGCUGUGCUGCAUUGACCUUGAUCUCUGGCGAGCUGCAAAGUUCCGUCACCAGGUGUUCUAGGCUUUAACCACCGGGCGCAUCGCUUGUGGUUUCGUCUAGUUUCAUCUACAAGGUAUCGAAUAUCAUGGAUCUUUAACUUACGCAUCGCUUCUGUCUUGAUCUACGGUAUUCACCAGUUAUCCUGCCUUGGUUAAGUCUGCAUCGGCUGAUAUUUAUCUGUUCUAUCAUCUUGCCGUUCAGUUUGCUUUAAUUAGCUUUAGAUCGGUUCAUUAUAGAUGAUAGAUCGCUUAAUAGCCUGUUGCAUCUUAAUCUUGGUUACCCCUUCAAGUGCUGUUGGGAUUAAGUUUCGUUAUGAUUGGAUUCAUCGGCUGGUGGGGUUGGUGGGGUUCAGAUUAACAUCGUGCUAAAUAUUUCUAGACUGCAACUACUGGACGCAUCGCUGUGGUUUCAUCUAGAGAUAUUGGUAGAGAGUUUAGUUUAGAUCUCAUCGGUUCGUGGCUCUAGCUAUGGUGGAGCGGCAGCUGAAUAGCAUCCUGUUUUCUAUCGGUCGCCUGGCCGAUAGUUAUUGCAAAAUAUAUUAAAUCGCCUGGAUGGCCGAUGGAUCACUCACGCUCGUCAAGGAUCAUAUCGGCCUGAUCGGCCAGUUGCCUCGGACUUCAAAGGAUUAUUUUCACCUUGUCAGUUGAAUGGUCAAACUGGCUGGCACGCCCGCGCACACCAUGCGCGCCGAUUUGGAUUUUGCACUGGAGUUAAGUAGAUCUUCCAGGUCCUCAUGUGGUGACGAAGGAUCCACCACCAUCAGGAUUUUGCGUCAACACAUUUUGGCACGCCCAGUGGGACACGGUUAUAAGGUUCAUAUUUUUAUUCAUAUAAAAAAGCAUCUUCGGCAUCAUCGGCCAAAUGAGUGUUCAUCGGCUUGUUAGAAUUAAUUCAAUAUAAUAUUUCAGCAAAAGCAGCCGAUGUAGCGAUUGGAGAUAAGGCCAAGUCAAGUCUGCGUGUAUACGCAUGUUCCGGUGGGAUCAUCUUCAUAAAUGCCAAUGACGAUUAGAGAUGAAGCUUCCUGCAAAAUGAUUGGCUACUCUAUCCGGGAAGAAUUGCUUUUUUAUGAGGCAUAUAUAGAGACCCAUGUUGCAAUUAGGGGGCGUAUUCGUGCAUUGGCUGAAAUAAAAAAAUGCAUCGGCAUAUUGAAAAUUGCAUCGGCCGAUUGACAGUCGUAUCAGCUGAUUGGAAAAAUAAAAAGGGAUCAGGGAUCCGCCGAUUGAAAAUUGCAUCAGCUGAUGGAAAAUGAGAGCAACAGUUACAAUAUUUUUUUUAAAAGAAAGCAAGUAUCGGCAAGCAGUAGCCGAUGGAUUUGUAUUUCAGCCAAUGGGGUUUUUGUUUCAGCUGAUAGUACUACUGGCUGAUGGCAAGUCCAAUGGAGUUAAAAUUGCAUUGACUGAUUGAAAUAAAAAUUAAGUAUCGGCUAAUUUAUGGCCAAGUAGCAUCUGCUGAUUUGUUGCAAAGUAGUUUCGGCUGAUUUAUGGCAAAAUAGAAUCGGCCGAUUUAUGGCAAAGAAGCCAAUAGACAAAAGCAUCGGCUGGUAGAGAAGCCGAUUGAGCAAGCAUCUGUUGAUGAGCUAUGUAUGGGAAAAAGUAUUGGCUGCUUAAACAAUUGACAAAAGCCAAUUGGUCAGACUGAGAAGCCAACUGGGAAAGCAUCGAUCGAUGGAUUGCGUAUGGGAGAGAGUAUCGGUUGAAGUCUUUAGUAUUGACUGCUAGAUAUUUGAGCAAGCGUCGGCCGAUUGACUGCUUGGUAAAAAAAACAUCGGGCUGAUUGCUUGGUUAAUAAAAAAAUUGCAUCGUUCAAGCAAAGAUUGCAUGGGCUGAUUGGUUCAAGCAGAAUAGUAUCGGUUGCUUAUAGAAUAUAUCGGAUAUUAAUUUCGAAGCAUGAAAAUAUUCAUACUCCGAAACUGGGGGGCCUGUGUUGACAACAAAAGCUUGCUGGUUACUGCAUCAAGUUUUGGUGUCAACAUACUUGAUCUUUUGUUUCCAUUGCCAGCGGAUUCAUCGGCUCAGAGUGGGAUCAAGACAUCAAGCUGAUGGAGUUCUUUAUAUUUCAAGAGGAGUCAUGGAGUUCUUUAUAUUUCAAGAGUAGUCGAUGGUGCUUUGAAUAUUGCAACCAGACGUCAUUGGCUCUAAAGAUACCGAAUCAUCGGACUUCUAUGAUCAGUUUCGGAACAUGAAGCCUUCAUACUACGAAACUGGGGGCCUGUGUUGACACCGAAUCAUCGGACUUCUAUAAUUAGUUUUGGAACAUGAAGCCUUCAUACUUCGAAACUGGGGGGCCUAUGUUAACACCAAAAUUUAGAAAUGUGCUCUGAAAGGAAGGUAUCGGCCGAUGAUGCAAAAAAAUAAUGAAAUCUCCUAAAUAAGGCUGAAGAAAGAAAAGCAAGAAAAGGAAAUCAACGCACACGGCAAGAAUUGAAUAAAAUAUUCUGGAGAUAGAGUUGGUUAGGAUAAGCUUGAUUAGAGAUAGAGUUGGAUUAUUUAGAGAUAGUAUUUUGAUUAGAAAAAAUUGUGUACAUGACUUGCCUUGUACGUGGUGCGUCAGAGGCCAUCCGCCCUAUAAAUAUAAGGGGUCGUGGCCAUUGUAAUUAUCAUCACACGAUCAAUAUACAACAUAUUUAUCUUUUACCUUUUCGGCUUCACGCCAUUGCAUUAGGAGUAGGAGUAAUGUAGCUUCUCGACGAGUUCCUUCUAGCAAGCUGGGCUGCAUCGACUUCGAUCUUCGGUGAGCUGCAAGUUCCGUCACCAGGUGUUCUAGGCUUUAACCACUGGGCGCAUCGCUGUGGUUUCGUCUAGUUUCUUCUACCAGUUACCGAGUAUCUUGGAUCUUUGACUUAUGGCACAUCGCUUCUGUCUCGAUCUACGGUAUUCACCAGUUAUCCCGCCUUGAUUAAGCUUGCAUCGGCUGAUAUGUAUCUGUUCUUUCAUCUUGCCGUUCAAUUUGCUUUAGUUAGCUUUAGAUCGGUUCAUCAUAGACAAUAGAUCAUUUAAUAGCAUGUUGCAUCUUGAUCUUAGCUAUCCUUCGAGUGUUGUUGGGAGUAAGUUCCGUUGUGAUUGGAUCCAUCAGCUAGCAGGGUUUAGAUUAACAUCCUGCUAAAUAUUUCUAGACUGCAACUACCGGGCACAUUGUUGUGGUUUCACCUAGAGAUAUUGGUGGUGACGUUAGUUUAGAUCUCAUCGGCUUGUGGCUCUAGCUAUGGCGGGGCAACAACUCAACAACAUCCUGUUUUCAAUCGACCGUCUAACUGAUAGCUAUUGUAAAUUAUAUUAAAUCGGCUGGAUGACGAUGAAUCACUCACAUUCAUCAAGGUACUGGAAUCGGCUUCACAGCCGAUAUAUUUGUCAUGAUUUAUUUUGUUGCACCAUUAUCGCUACUGUGCUAGGAUUAUAUCGGCCUAAUCGGCCAGUUUCCUCGGACUUCACAACGACUAUCAUCUCCUUGUCAGUUGAAUGGUCAAACUGACUGGCAUGCCCGCGCACACCACACGUGCCGAUUUGGAUUCUGCACUGGAAUUAAGCAGAUCUCCCAGGUUCUCAUGUGCUGAUGCAGGGUCCACCACCGCCAGGAUUUUGUGUCAACACCUUGUAAUCUUCCUUUGAUUUCCUCAAUGAUUCGAAGACAAUAACCUUGCUUGUAUAAAUGAUAAUUAUAAGGAGAACCUAGUGGAAACUGUGUAUUCAUAUUAGAACUACCUAUGGUUAAUUAGGUUAGGAAAGGAAAUCGAAAAUAGACCGUACCCACACUUACUUAAAGUUGUUGGGCAGUAGUAUGUAAUGCUUGUAAUUCUGUUACUCCAAGAAUUUGUAUAUGUGGUCCAAUGUAGACUUUGGUUGAUCCCAUAUCUGUUGUUGGUUAAAUAAGUGUUUCUGGCCAUUUCUAGCCGUUAGAACCGGAACUAAAGGGGGCUCUUUAGUACGGGUUGAUAUUACUAACCGGGACUGAAGAGCCCCCAUUACAGUUGGUUUUUGGACGCGGAACUAACAACUCCUUUAGUCCCGAGUCCAAAAACGACUGAGAUAGAAGAUCCUUUCUCUACCGUGAAUAUUGCCAGAAAGAAUUGAAAGAGACCGCUUGCUAAAAAUAUGUCAUAGAUGUAGACCAAGCUACCAAGGAGGUAGACCAAACAUGAUACACACCAUGCGUACCUUGCUGUGCAGACUAUGCAUAGACAAGACACCCGACCACAUGUUGGCCUCGGUCACAUCAAAAGAAUCAUGUAGGCCACCAAUAAACUACUUGAAGCGUCAUUCCGUAUCGUAUAUGCAUUGCCGGUUCAUCUGCAUUACAUUACAUAAAGUAGUAUUAACUAUUUGAAUAAAAUGAACCAAUUUAAAAGUAAUGUGUUGUACUCUACUAUAGAAAGCCCUAUCACUGUCGGAUCCAGAAACAUCAUUGUUGAUGGUCGUUAAGUACCAAGACGGUCAAUAUUCUCAAGAAUAAUGGAGAAUUGGCAUUUCUUACACACAUAUUUGGUUUUGAACAAUGUAGUCCCACAUGUCCUUGGAGAUUAUUUGGGUGUGGGUGAAAUAAUACAAAAAGAAGGAGAAAACACACUCCCAUGGUGAAGAAACAAAACUCCGACCAAUGAGAGAUAGCCACAGGGGCAGCACACGGAUCCAUGGGCCCACAAACCGCAUCAAACUGUCUUACCAAGGCGGGUAGCACCCACAACCAUGAUUAGGACCCACCUGGAUGUCUACCAAGAAGAAGGUUGUGAGUGGGGCCAGGAGGGGUUCGGCUGAAUCAUCUCUAGCUCCCCUCAUCCCCAGCUGGUGCAUGGCGGUGGUUAAUGGUGUCCCUACAUCGGUUAGAGGAGAUUCCCCCAAAUAUUCCUCCUGUAAACCACCUGUAUGGACCUAUACAUAGAGGGGUGUGCUCUCCAAUCCAACACACACCACAAGUUUAAUCACUCUCUCCCUCUUUAAUUUCCAUGUUUAUGGAGUUAGCCUAGAGUAGCUCUGCUCAAGGUUCCAAGUCCACUUGGAGUUAAGCAUAUGUCUCUUGUAUCGUUAUUUCCCAGAUUGACUUUAUGCUUAGUUCUUAUAUGCAUGAGUUAGUCUAAUAGCCUUGCUCUAUUGAUAUGCUCGGCUUAUAUGCUCGUAUGCUAGUCAUAUACCCUUGCUGCCGUAGUAUAGGCUUAUAUGCUCUCAUGUGUGCCUUUAGACCUUGCUACAAUAUAUACUUGUUGUGUAUACAUACCAUGUAUAGGCUAGUCGAUCUAUACCAUGGCAUUGGUUCAAUAGCCAUGUUUUUGGUGGCUCCAACCCUAGUCAGAAUAGCUCGGGACAGCUAGAGUGUUGUUAAAAAUGCAAGAGUGAUGGUUGGGUUGUUUAGCAUCGUUGGAUAUGGGUUUUCCCCACGGGUUUCUAAGAGUAGGCGGCAGCUAGUGACAGCCCUGUCCGUCCUUCGUAAUCCCCCCACAUUCAAGUACGCCAUAGAAGUUCAUAAAUUAGCAGUAACUACACCGGCAGACCGGUAGGGUAUUGUCUCCCUAUAGUACCUUGGUGCAUAGAACUAGGUCAUAUACACUGUGUGUCUAUGUUUACGCUGAUAUGAUCUGUGCAGUAUAUAGCAUGUAUAUAUGAACCUAGAGCUAACUCCUAGUCCAUUCUCCGUAGCUUAGUUAUCUUGAGAUGAUUCUUCUGUGUGUGUAACACUACCCAUCUUAUCAUUAUCCUUAAUCCUGUCUUGUGUAAUAUAUCUACUCAUCCUAUGAUAUACUCAUAUGCAUAGUAAACUAUUUUGACCUACCCGCCUUCCUUUGGGAAAUACGAUACCCUGGAAUAAUCCUAGGUGAAAUGCUACAACGGUAUAUCCAUGUGCUUACGGAAUUAUUCCUGACCAUUAAAUAUACCAACAAUCAUCACUAUCUAUUUUGGGCAUCGUUAGUGAAGGGUCGGCAGUGAUGGGCAUCCCCUUCACCAAUGGAGCUGGAACUGGCGGUGAUGGCCAUUAAAAAAAAUGGGACCCCACCCAGCGUACCCCGCAACCCGGCCGGCUGCGCCUCCCAUCAUCCCCGCCGGUCGCCCUUCCUCUUUGCCGGCCGAGCAUGGUUCCGGCCCUCGUCCCUACCGCCUCGCCUCCAUCGCGACCCCCUGCCGAUGCCCUCAUGCCUGGCCCCCCUCGUCUGGCCGGCCACCCUCCCGAUGCAUCCACCGGGGCCCUCGCACCACCAACCACCCUAGCCUAGAGAGAGAGAGGAGGAGGGAGGUGAGGCCACGCACCUCGUCCUACAACGCCGCUGUUGCUCCUCGGCCCACCGCGCCUCACCCCACACCACAGCCGCACCUCGCCAUCUUACCGGCCGCGACGCCCCAUCUCACCGGCCACCGUUCCUCACCCCCACAUCGGUCAUCGCUGCUCCUUGCCCUACUGCUGCUCUUUGCAGCCGCGAAUGAGGGGCGAGUGGAGGGGGAGGGGCGGGGCAGGAGGAGGGCAAGAUCCGGGAGGAAGGGAGAGAUUUUGGGAGGUGGAGAUGGAAGGAUAUGGCGGAAGGUAGAGAUCUAGAGGGAGAGAGCGGGGGGGAGAGGGGGGCAUGUGGGGAGAGAGCGCAUGUGGGGUGGGGCCGGGCUGGUGGGAUGGAAGGUAGAGGGGCCGGAGGGCGCAGUGCAUUCAACUGGAUUAAGUAAAUAUUUCGGAUUCGAGACCCCAGCUUUAUUAUCACCGCUGGUCCGUAGUACCAUUCGGUGCCGGCUCAUAAUUUAAUUUGAACCGGUGGUGAUGUUUUAUUAUCACUGCUGGUUUCAAUUUUCACCAUCGGAUCAUAUAAAAAUCCGGCGGUUAAAAAUCCGCUGGUUUCGAUGAAAACCGACAGUGAUAGGACGACUGUGAUAGUCUCUUCUCUAGUAGUAGUAUAUUAGUACCGGCUGCCGGAUGGUGUUGCCGACGAGUACUUCUCCAGGGGCGAUUCAGUACUGAUGUUAGCAAAGCUUGUUCUCUAUGAAUUUGGGGAUGGAAAGCUAGUUCUCUAGUUGUGAUUUGUUACAUAUAUCUCUAUGAUAGUCUAGAAAUUGCAUGUCCUUCGUUGACAUAGUUGAAGCUGCUUCAAGAAUUUACUUCGUGCAGUCGUGCAGCAUAUUGGAUUAUCACCUAGACAGGAUACAUAGGUGAAGCAUUGCAUGUGAUUGUGGCUGAUAAUUAUGCAGGACGCUGUUGCAAUCAACCAUCAAGAAGACUGGAGCGAUGGGGUUGCCUCAUCAACAAUUUUUAUAUAUGGCUGCAGUAUUAUUAAGCCCACGUCAAUAAUUUUUUCUCCGCAGCAUAUAUAUGGUUACUCAGUUCGCUGGAGUAUCGCUGUGGAAAAACAUACGUACUGCGCCUCGGAACUAACUGGCAUUCAGGCCAUCAACGACCAGAUAUUUGGGACAACCAACAAAUAGUAGGUGGUUCCUAAGUUGUAGUCGUAUGUACUAAUGCGCCUCGAUGGGGUUUUCUUCAGAUAUUUUAUUGCCGUUCAAUGAACAAGCAGAUACAUAACCUGUGCAGAAAAUUCCAUCUCCACGCAUGCCACUGCACCAACAAGAUCCUCAGUCGACGAUGAUGGCUCAGCCUGUUCCUUCUGCCACCAAAUCCUCAAUCUUCCCUCCAGCAACGGAGAAUGCACCUUUAGUACCUUCAGUAUCAGAUGUUGCAAUCGGUACCGUGAAACCGAGACUAAAAUCCUUACUUUGCAGGGGGCAAAACAAUCUUGCAAAUAUAUAUUUUGAAUUCCAACAAAAUUUAAGAAAUGUUAAAGAUGACUAGCUGAGAGUCAACAGACAAGAUAUGAUAUUAGGAAUGUGGGAGGAUGAAUGCAUUUGUACAGGGGUCAUACUAUUUCCAGACUCUUCUAUAUUUCCAUAUGACUACCUACUUCAAUGUCACGCGAGCCAUUCAAAAAGAUACAUGGUACACUUGUAUGUCUAAUCCAUUAUUGAUUAUUUCCUCUUGUCAUCUCUUACAAGUAUUUCUCCAUACUAUAGAAACGUGCAACACAUUUUUAGGAUAUGGACACGCAUGAUUAAUAUGCUUGGACUAGUAUACAGGUCAUCUUUGGAUGAGUACAUAUGAAUGCCAGGGAGGGACUGAUGGAUAUAAGGAAAAGGGACCAUGCAUAAAUAAUGACAUAUGUAACAUGGCAAUCUUCAUUGCCAUGCAACUCCUAUCAACAAUCAUGGAAUACAUACUACUGCUCCAGAAGGGUGGUGUGCAAAUUUAUUUUACCUCGCGGUGAAAAUCUCCAGAGCAGGCCUGAAGUUAAAAUAAGAGGCAGUCACUAUCGAUCAUGACAGUCUCGAAACUGUACAGCACUAUGCUAGUCCUAGUCCUCAUGUCGUUCGUGCUGUCGUGUAGCAUGAUGGAUUAUUAACUGGGCAGGACACGGAGAUGGCUAGCGAUGACAGAGGAUGACGUACAUGAUAUUCACCUCUGAAAUGAAGCGUAGGCUAAUGAAGCACAAUUGCAUGUGAGUGUGGCAGAUAUUUAUACAGGACAGUGAUUGCAAUAAUCGACCAUCGAGAUCGAAGACAGGGGCGAUGGGGUUGCCUCAUCAAUAAUUCGCGCAACCAGACAAGCUGCAGACUCAAUAUGGUACGAAGCUAUUUGGUCAGCCCACAUGCUCUGAUAUAACAUUGGCAUCUGCUGAUCUACAGUAUAUAUGACCAGAAAUAUUGUGCCACCUCAAUAAUUUUCCGAAGUAUCGUUGGGGAAGCACCUACAUACUAUGCCUCGGAACUAACUGACAUGUUGGCCUAGGCGGUCCAGGCCGAUUGGACAGGCUCUUCCUUAUGGCUCCUCACGUCCCCUUCGUUUCCGAGUAAUCUCAGGUGUUCUGAAGUUUUCUUUUCACUUGCAUGUGGACCUUAUAUAUCAAUAGCUUCGGGAUAAGAAUGCCUCUUGAUAACCUUCCAAAUCGUCGCUUGAUUCACUUUGAUUCCAAAAUCAUCUUGCCAUAUCUUUUGAGACUUAGGCCCUAAGGCAUCAUGGAGGAUUGCUCGCCAAGAAUGAGCACCAUUGGGCUCCUGAGGACCCUAGGCCGAUCAGCCUGGGCUCUAUAGGUUGAUUGGCCCAGGCCCUCUCUGGGCCCAUUGGCCUUCAUCUUUCUCUGAGUCGACGCUUAUUGAGGGCUUUGUCCAAUUAUAGUCCAUUAUAGUCUAAUUUCCAAAAAAAUAGAAUAUCCUCCAAAAUACAAUACAUUUGUGAAAACAGCCCAAUUAUUAGGUAUGAUCAAUAGUCUAGGUAUUAAAUUAAUGUUAUUAUUUAAGAUAAAUAGGGAUAAAGGGUGUCAUUAAUAACGAGCACCAACCAGCGUACCAGCUGUUAACACUAACCGAUGCUAAUAUGUACCCUUUAGUACCGGCUAUUUCACCCGGUACUAAACGAGACAAGAGCACCCUAACAGAGGUUAAUACCAUCCAUUUCAUGAGUAAAAUACUAUGAUUCAAAAAUAAUUCAAAUCCCUUAAGACAAUACCUAUCAAAUGAGUAGAUUGUAAAUAGAGUAAAACAAUGUCCUAAUGAAACGGAACACUUCUGGUUCGUGUAGAGCACAAUAUAGAAAACAGUAGGGUAGCUGUACGAUUGACACGUGGUCCAUUAAUUAUUGAGCCAUCACUAUGGACAUGUCUUCAUGAGUAGUGUACUAGUCAUGACACAUGGUAUGUAGUAGGUGGAGGUAUUGAGUUAGCCAUGCCAUGAGCACUUAGUUACAACAAACACUUUGCCAUUAUCGAGCAUCCCAAAUCACUACAAAAUCCAUAGUUUACCAUAUACUACAAAAUCUGAGUUAAAAUAAGAGCAUACACGGAAGAGUCCGAAUGCACCGGUUUAGGACCAGGCACAUUGAAUUACUAGAAAAAGUUAUCGGACAAGGUUUUGGGUAACCGCAUGAAAAAUGUUGGAUUUUACUGAACACUUAGUUACAAUUACCAUGCCGUGAGCACUUAGUCACCACAAACAUUUAACCACUUUAGAUCAUCCUGAAUCCCUAUAAAUUCUGUACCUUACACCGUACCAUGAAAACGACAAGAACAGAGACAGAUGCAGUGAAAAUCUCCAGAGCAGGCCUGAAAUUAAAAUAAGAGGAGGCAGUCUCUAUCGAUCAGGACACGGAGAUUGCUAGCCAUGACAGAGGAAGACAUGAUAUGAUAUUCACCUCUGAAAUGCAGCGUAGACUAAUGAAGCACAAUUGCAUGUGAGUGUGGCAGAUAAUGGACCAUCGAGACCAUCGAAUGGUAUGAAGCAUGAUUAUCACCUAGACAUGAUAUCCUAGACAGGACGGUGAAUUGUAAAAAGAGUAAUCUUGAUCAAAGAAUGUCCUAAUGAAACGGAACAUUUUUGGUACGUGUAGAGCACAAUAUAGAAAACAGUAGAGUAGUUGUACGAUUGAAACUGCAUCCAUCCACGUGGUCCAUGAAUUGUUGAGCCAACACUGUGGACAUGUCUUCAUGAACACCAUCUAGUGAGGACAGGAUGCAGAAAAAUAUAAAAACAUGUCAUAGGGAGGCAGACCAAUCUUGCAAGGAGGUAAACGAAACGUGAUACACGAUCUGCCUACCUUGUCGUGGAUACCCCAAGAGAAGAUGUCAUAGAGGUGCAGACCAAGCUAGCAAGGAGGUAGAUGAAACGUGAUACACGGCCUGCCUACCUUGCCGUGGAUAUUAGCCCUGAUAUCAUUCUAUUGUUCAAGGAAUAACACUCAAUGCUGCUGCUGCUGCUGACCUGGCUCCAUAAAGUUGUAUUCCUCUAGCCGCUUGCACUAACUUUAUCUGAAGUAUUAUUCUCUCUGCCCUGAUAUCUGAAGUAUUAUUCUCUCUGCUGACUUUGCUGAAGAACCUACAUAAUAUGUCUUGGAACUAACUGACAUUGAUUCACAGACAAACUCUACAAGGUGCUGUUGUUGCCAUAUUUUAGAGCAUCCCAAAGGACUAUAAAUAAUAUAGUUUACCAUAUACCGUAUACCAUUAUAUGUUAGCUAAAAUAAGAGCAUAACAUGUCGCAGGAGUCCAAAAGCACCGGUUGAGGACCAGGUACAUUGAAUUACUAGAAAAAGACAGGGGGCAAUGUUUAGGUAGCCACAUGAAAAACAUUUGAAUUUACUGUUCCAUGAACACUUAGUUACCAUGCCGGGAGCACCUAGUUAACACUAAAAUUUAGCCACUUUAGAUCAUCCCGAAACACCCUCAAUAGCGACAAAUUUUGAUUUAAAUGCCGUCACCAAUGAUCCUCAAUAGCGACGUGUUUAGGUUUAAAUCCCGUCACUAAUAACCCUUGGUAGUGACGUGUUUUGGUUUAAAUCUCAUCCCACUGAUCCUCAAUAGUGACGUGUUUUUAGCAACACACGCUAUGAAUGACUUGUCAUUGGUGACAUGUUAAAUGCGUUAUCUCAAUGGCAAAUCAUUGGUGACGUGUUUUAAAAAAACAUGUCACUGUGAGAGUUAUUGGUGAAGGGUAAUUAAAAUGCAUCACUAAUUUUGUAGCAUUAGUUAUGAUAUAAUUUAGUAACGCAAAAAUCUACCAUCAGUAAUGAGGUUUAGAGCCGUCGCUAAUGUGGGUUUCUUACGAGUGAUGCAAGCUCUACAAGGUGCUGUUGUUGCCAUUUUAAAGCAUCCCAAGUGACUACAAGUUAAUAGCAUAGUUUACCAUAUACCAUAAAAAUAUUAGUUACAAUAAGCACAUCCGCAUGUGGAAGAGUCCGAAUGCACCAGUUGAGGACUAAACACAUUGAAUUACUAGAACCAAAUGUAAGACAAAGAAAGGGGUCAAGGUUUGGGUAACCGCAUUAAAAACAUUGGAUUUUACUGUACCAUGAACACUUAGUUACCAUUACCAUACCUUGAGCAUCUAGUUACCACAAACAAUAAUUUAGCCACUUUAGAGGUUCCAGAAUCACUAUAAAUAAUAUACCAACACCGUACCAUGAAAACAUCAAGAAGAGAGACGGGUACAUGGACCACCAUCAAGUGAGUAGUGACAGCACGCACAAGAAUACCCGGAACCUGUUAGCUUGUCUGUAGUGAUCUGUUUUCUUCCCCAUAAAAUCCAUGAGUAUUGCCACAAAUAAUGAAAGAGGCUGACCAAGCUAACAAGGAGGUAGAGAAAACGUGAUACACGUAGGUUUCAUUCAAGACAUCCAUGUAAGAUUCAUUCAAAACAUUCAUGGAAAUUUCUUGUAAGUUUUCAUGUAAAUUUCAUUCAAGACAUUUGUUAGAGGUGUUGUAUAUAUAUACCUUAACGUACAUAUAUCUAUGAUUUCAUGGUUGUUAGUGAUGGCAGAUGAGGAGCAUGCAAGGUAUUUAAUGGAGCAGAUUAUUGCUAGUGGUAGUGGCUCCAACCUGCCCGUAACGUACACCAACGAAGAGAGCAGCCAGGCGGACAUGUUCCUCAACAUAUCCGGUGAUGGCAAUGAAGAGCCCGAGCAAAACCUUGCCGUGACGGAAGGUUCCAGUGAGGUAUAUAUCAUUUCCAUUGUUUUACCCCAUCUAUAAUUUCAUAUUCAUUAUUACUAUGUACUAAUUAAUGGAUCUUGAACCAUUAGCCCUCUAGAUCAACGAACCGAAAUAAGCCCCGAGGUCUUACAAAGAUAAUGCAGGGAAGGCAUCACAUCACGGAAGUCACAGAAGAGGGCACAUCAGUUGCUCCCGAACAUGUGGCAAGAAAGUACGUGAGUCAAACCGGGCAAUGUGCCCAUCAGCAUUAGGGAAUGAAAGGGCAAUAGAAAUGAUCUAUACACGCCCCCGGAUACACAAAAGGAUAUGCUGUGGGCAAAUAUCAAGAAACACUUCACAUUUCCCAAAGGAUAUGUUGAAAAAGAUGUGAAAGCGUGGAUGCUGAAGAAGAUGGUCACCGAAUUCCAGACAUUCAAGAAGAUGUUGGAUGUCAACUUCAUCAAGAAGGGUCGAACUCCGGGUUUCGAUGAGUGGCCAAAGUUAAGGGACCACUGGGAGUCAUUUGUCAAAUACAAGACGAGUGAAGGUGGUGCGAGUAAGGUUCGCAUCAAUGUUGCCAAUGCUAGCAAGGAGUACCAUCAUCAUCUAGGGCGACGUGGUUACAGCACUGCAAUUCCCAGAUGGCGCAAGAUGGAACAAGACCUGAUCGAUCGGGGUAUCGUACCAGCAACUCCUGACUGGCCUGAUCGAUUGAAAAAUUGGUAUUAUGCUCAUGAAGGCAAUCUGAGCCAACAGGAUGCGACAUUGGUCUUCAAUAAAACAAUACGUCAGAAGGCCGGAAGGCUUAUUAGGAACAUUGAAAAUGCUAAAUCUGGGAGGUUCAAGGUGGAUAGAGAGAAUGAUGAGCUCACAUUGGCCCUUGGGACUAUCAUCUCUAGCAUUUCCAGCUCCAGGACUGUCGUCACCACCGGGACCGUCGCUUCUUGCUCGAUCACAGUCUCCAUCUCCAGCACAUCCUGGUGGUGCGAACGAUGACGACAACAACACCCCUCCCUGCCCACCAUCGCCGGGACUAAGACCCGCAUCGAGUAAGGAACCUGCAGCACCACUGAAGAAGUCGCGACCACCGCCUUCCAAGCCAAGUCAGCAAAAGAAGAAAGCAGAGAAGCCUAAGCCCACUGAGAAGCCAACAACCGAUAUGACCGAUGCGGAAAGAUGGAAGGCACUCAAAGAAGAAUGCAGGGAGUGGUUCUGUAAAAAGAACCAAAGAAAGAAAAGGAAAGCAGAUGGAGCCACCGCCAGUAGAUCCAAGAAAAUUAUAAUUUUUUAUUAAGAUGUCAAAAGGAGCCAAGAAGAUGAUUCCACAACUAUCAAACUACGACCGGGCGUUAGUCAAGGCUGAUGAGAGUUAAAAAAGGAAAGGAAAGUCAUCUUCAAGUGGUACUGUCCCCCACCUCGAGGAUCUACCAGAAAAAGACGCUAAAAAGAUAGUAGCAAUGCUCUUGGAUCAACAAACACAUAUAUCAUGAGAUUCAUGCAAGAAACAGGUAUGUGCCUUGCUGAAUGUCUAGGGCAAGUUGAUAUGCUAGCUCUAGAGCCAUUUGUACCGAAAUGGACCUUUGAGCUAGGCAAGCCUCUAGUAAGGCCUGAGCUGGUACAGAAGCUAUCCACAUAGCUAUAUGAAUACCAUGAAUGGUACAUGAAGCAGUCUGCCAAUGAGAGGAAAAUGUUCGGUCUCAGGGAAAAACUGAUAUUUUUUUUCGGCGAAGGCGAGAAAGUCUUGUGAUGGAAUUCAAGGAUAUAUAUGAAGUGUACCAUCAGGAUGCCCUUGAUGUCUCUCUCAUCAGCGCCUAGGUUAUGUAAGUGUAUGUUUAUCUAUACGUAAUUUUUGUCUCAUAUCAUUAUUUCUUUUGCGUGCGUCACCCUACUAACUUCGUCUUCCAUUUUAUGUAGGAUGCUAAUUCAGAUGUGCCGCAUAGAAGCGCACUUCCAUGUUGGCUUCAUGGAUCCAUCCCUAGUUAACCAAAAGCAGAUACGGAAGUAGCUAGAGAAAAUGUUGGAGGUGGUAUACAACUUCCUGGACAAACAAAACUAUAGAAUAGGGGCAAUAUGUGAAGGUCUUGUAGGAUUCCUAGUGGACAAGGUGAUAAAUCCAUAAGGAGAAUAUCAUUACAACGGACGAGCAUUAGACACACUGAGCAACACCUAGACGGGAGGAUCCUAGGAAUGACCUAGACAGAUUUUGGUAUAAAUAGUAAUUGUGUAAAUACUAGUUUGAUUUGUAUAGGAAUAUACUAAGAAUUGUAUAUAUAGUAAUUGUACAAAUACUAGUUUGAUUUGUAUAAAUACUAGAUUGAUUUUAUUAUAAAAAAGUUUUAAGUCGUACGUGCAUGCGCCUACAAAGGCGCGUAUGCCCUUUAAUCCCGGUUGGAAAAACAAACCGGUACUAAAGGGGCUCGUGCCGCACCUGGCAUGACCGCCCCUUUAGUCCCGGUUGAACGACCCAGGACCAAAGAUCUGCCCCGUCUCAUAAAUUUUAUCCUGGAUGCUUUUUAGAGAGAUUUGAGGCCUAUCAACCAAGACUAAUAUCGAGUUUUCUACCAGUGGAACUAACUAACGUUCACAUGCUUCUGACAUUCACCUGCCAUUUGGUGUAGACAAGGGCACCCUAACAUAUGGUUAAUAUUAUUCAUGAAAGAAAAUCCUUUGAUUCAAAAAUACUUCAAACCUAAUAAUACAAUACUUCUCACAUCUGAAAAAUAUGAGAUGGCCCGACAGUAUUCUAACCGACGCAAUAAUAUUUUGAGGGCAGCACUACUACAGCGACCCUCAUUCGUGCCGGUGCUGGAACCCCUAUCACGACCCUGAUACAAAUGAGGGUACAUUAUUGUUGCCAGUGCUAGAAUAGCCACGAAUAACUUGCUAAACAUGCUGUUACACUCACUACUAGAAAAAUAACCUCUCGUCCUGAGGCUUAGUACCGGUCACUUUUUUGCCCAGUACUAAUGUUAGUAUUAGUACCGGAUCCAAAUUUGGGAUCCCCCAGAGACCCUUUAGUACCAGGUGGAGUCUCCACCCGAUACUAAAGGCUUUGUUACCGGGUGAAGGAUCCUCCCGGUACUAAUGGGGGAUUUUUAGUACCGGGUGGGAACCCCACCCGAAACUAAAAUCUCCCAUGCGGACCCCUCCCCCCCCCACGCGUUGCCUCUGUCCUCCCUCCUCCUCCUCUGAGUAGUUAUCCCUUCCUCAUCCCUCCUCCUCCUCCCACACGUGGGGUGAGGUGAGGUGGCAGUAGCAACGACAGGUGGUGUGGCGGGUCACGGCGGGCCGGAUGCGGAGCCGCAACGGUGGUCGGCGGGAUGGGGUGGGGCAGAGCGGCAUGGCAGGGCGGAGCGGUGGGACGGGGCCGAGGUGGAGGUGCCGGGCGGAGGUGGAGUGGCAGGACAGAGGCGGAGGCGGAGCGGCGGGUCGGCGAGCGGGUGGAGGGUGGCGACGAUGGGGCGGGCAGAGGCAGAGGGGUGGGUGGAGGGGCGGCGUGGUCCACCGGCGGGGGGGGGGGGGGGAGAGGGAGGCGUGGGGGGUGCGGUUGGUGAUUUCAAUUUUCUUUUAAUUUUUUAACACCCUUCAGUACCAGUUAUUUUAACCGGGUCUAAAGGGAUCCCCUCUUGUACCGAAUUGCUAGUACAGGAUGCACAACCGGUACUAGAGGGAGGUUCCCAACCGGUACUAGAGCCACUUUCCCCGGUAGUGACUUUUUCACCGAUUAGAAUAUGUUAUUAUUCUAAUCAGCUUUUGUUGAUCUCCUGUAUAAUUUAGUACCUAAUUCUACUAGCAAUUGUUAACGCCGACACGUAUUGGGUAUAGUCCUAACAGUGUCUAACUAGGGCACUACAUUUGUUAACCUAUAACUACUGGUAUCGAUUAGCCCUGGUUAGAAUACUGUCAAGGCAGCCAGAAAAAAUUGUUUGCCAAUUCUGCUAUCCAUCAGAACCAUGACUAGUACCGUAUUGUAAUAAACGAAUUACACAAAUAACUGAUGCACACAAAGGAAUAUGCACUCGCAUGUGCUAGACGUUCGUAGCAACAACAAAUUACUCUCAUCAUCAAUUAAACAUAAUAGAUUAAACAUUAACUGAACAUAGUUCAACACGUACAUCAACAAGACAAAGCAGUUUAAACAUCAACUGAACAGAACUGAAAACAUACAUCAACUGAUGAUAAACUUCGACAUGAACACAACACAUAAACAUCAACUUCAAUAGAACUUAAUAGAGCAUAUUAAACAACAACAUCGACAAAACAUAUAAACCCAGCUCAGUAGCUCAAGCAUCAACUAAAACUGCUGAAUUAAAAUAACAUAACAUAGUGUAGUUCAUCAUGAUGAUAACUAACAGAACCGAAAAGCCUAACUGGGUAAAAGAGCAAUUCAUUCAUAAUGCUUCAGCACUUACAUCACCGGAGUAUGCAACUGGCGGCGUCGCUUACGUCACUAUCACCGCGCUUGGCGAGUAAAGGAGGAGGAGGUGGCAUAGUAAUCGAAGAGGAGGCCGCUGUCGGCGGGUUUAGACUACGUGGAGGUGUGGGUAGGGUUAAGGUGGCUCUGUGGACGAGUAUAUAUAAGAGGUCUGGGCUUGUUAGAAUAAGAUAACAUUCUAACUGGCCAAAUUCGGAUCCGGUUAGAAUAAAUUGUUCUAACCAGCCUUAAUUCGAGGUGGUAAGGAUAAGUUAACAUUCUAAUCAGCUCUAUUUGGAGCCCGAUUGAAUGUUCUUGUUAUUCAAAAAAAGAUCAAGUUCAUCAAUUUUUUUCUAGAAAAACAUCAAGAUAAUUUAAACACGAUAUAUAACAAGAUUAAUACAUUUAAAAAUUGUUUUCUCCAAUAAUUAACGAUAUUUAACAAAUUCAAAAAAAAUCCAAAUUAACAGAACAUAAUAACCAAUUGUUCGAAAAAAUCAAAAUAGUCCACACAGUAUCAUAUUACAAAUUCAGAAAAAUAUCAAAAUAAUCCCUGAUCCACUCGAUACCGUCGUAGAACUUUGAAAUACUGAGCUUCUUGAUUCAUCUGAGGUCCACGUACUCGUCUCAGUAACACUAGUGGUGGCCAUGCAUCUUGUAGAUGUCUUCUAAUGAAUUAAGCUUGACAUACAAGGUCGUGCCUUCCACUCCUUGAGGAUUGCUUAUGACGUUUCUGCAAAUAACGAAGCAUUGCUUUCUCCAACAUGAUUAUUUUCUUCGGCUUAUCCCAAGGGACAACUAUGGUUUUCCCCUUGCCGGAAGAGGAACGAUGAUCGCCCCCACCAUCGCCACUUCCUCCAGUAGCAGAAGCCAUCUAUGUACAAAAAUUCAUACCUUAGCACUACAGAACUUGUUGAACUUGAAGACUGUGAUCAUUAGGCGAGCAUGUUCUCAACUAGGUGGCACCGCACUUCGUCAUGGAAGAGCUUCGAUUUUACAAAAAAGGGGACAUGAUCUUCCAUGAUGUCCGUAUCCGCUCUUUCUCGUAGAAUCAGAGCUCCUCCUUGAUAUACGAUGCUGCUCGGCGGAGAACAUGCUCACCGAGAUGAACACGGUAUGCAAGUUCAACAAGUAUGGAUUUGAAAAACCAUAUUGAAUUUGACAAGACAAACUAUCUAGAUAAGCGUAGCAUCAUUCUUAAACCACUGCAAGGAUACGUACUAUAUAUGACACAUCAAUCUCCCUCACAUUCUAGCUCAAAAUACCUCUCCAUUUUCUACUUCACAUUCUAGCAAAUAAACUAUCUAUCUCCAUUCUACACAUCAAGUUGUUUUAACUAAUACAAAUCGUAUAUAACAAGCAAAAUAUCCAUCACAUUCUAGCUCAAAAACAUGUAUAAAUACAAAUCCUCUUCAUUCUCCCUUUUUCUAACAAACAAACUCAUUUUUCUCCCUCUCCAAAGCAUAAAUUAAAGCGUAACAUGAGGAUGAGGUAGCAAACCUUCACAACACAUUGGAUGAGUGAAAUUCCCACGAAAAUGAGGGAAAAAAAUUCGGGCAGCACCUCCCUUGCUUCGGCACCUCUAGAGAGUAGGUGAAGCUCAGUUCUCUAUUUUUGUGGUGGACUAGCUUGGGCUGGAGGAGGAAGAAAGGCCUCUGUCUUGGUAUAUAAUGGGGGAUGAGUUUUUAUCCCAGUUAAAAGCUCCAACUGAGACAAAACGGCCAAUCUUUUGUCCCGGUUGGAGCCUCCAACCGGGACAAAAGGGGCACGCCAUCGACGCACGGGAGCUAGCCGUUACAACCGGGACUAAAGGGGGGCCUUUAGUCCCGGUUGCAAAUACCAACUGGGAUUAAAUCUCCCCUCCAUUUUUGCCUACCGUGGUGCGCCCCCUUUUAUCCCGGGUCAACUUUAAACCGGGACAAAAGGGGGCGUCGAAGAUCAGUUCUCUACUAGUGACCCCUCCCCACCUAUCUCUCUCCCUCCAUGCUCCUCGAUCUGUGCCUCCCCUCCCCUCCCCUUCCACUCGCCCCUCACCGACGGUAAGGAGCAGCGGCGGGGCGAGGUGAGGUGGCAGCAGCAAUGGCAGGUGGUGGGUCGCAGCGGAGCGGCUACGGUAGGCAGCCGGACGGGGCAGAGCGGCGGGGCGGGGUGGAGGCGGAGGUGGCGGGUAGAGGCGGAGCGGCGAGGCGGAGGCGGAGGUGGAGGCGGAGUGGUGGGACGGCAGGGCCGGGCGACUAGUAUAGGUGGGCGGGCGGAGGGCGGCGACGGCGGAGCGGGCGGAGGCAGAGGGGCAGCGGGGGCCGCCGGCGGGGGGUGUGAUCGGGGAUUUCAAUUUUUUUUAAAUUUUUUAACACCUUUUAGUCCAACUGGUUCUAAAGGGACCCCUCUAGUAUCAAAAUUGCUAGUACCGGUUGCACAACCGGUACCAGAAGUGGUUCCUAACUGGUACUAGAGCCACUUUCCCUGGUAGAGACUUUUUUACCAGUUAGAAUAUGUUAUUAUUUUAAUCAGCUUUCGCUGAUCGCCAGUAUGAUUUAGUACCUAAUUUUACUGGCGAUUGUUACCGCUGACACGGAUUGGGUAUAGUCCUAACAGUGUAUAACUACGGCACUACAUUUGUUAACCUAUAACUACUUGUAUCGAUUAGCCCUGGUUAGAAUACUGUCAAGGCAGCCAGAAUUUUUUUUUUUUGCCAAUUCUGCUAUCCAUGAGAUCCAUGACUAGUACCGCAAUGUAAUGAAUGAACUGCACAAAUAACUGAUGCACACAAAAGAAUAUGCACUUGCACGCUAGACGUUCGUAACAACAAAUUACUCUCAUCACCAAUUGAACAUAAUAGAUUAAACAUUAACUGAACAGAAUUCAACACGUACAUCAACACGACAAAGCAGUUUAAACAUCAACUGAACUGAACUGAACACAUACAUCAACUGAUGAUAAUUAUCGACAUCAACAGAACACAUGAACAUCAACAUCAAUAGAACUUAAUAGAGCAUAUUAAACAACAACAUCGACAAAACAUAUAAACCCAGCUUAGUAGCUCAGGCAUCAACUAAAAUUGCUGAAUUAAAACAACACAACGUAGUGUAGUUCAUAAUGCUUCGGCGCUUACACCACUGGCGGGUCGCUUACGUCGGCAUCACCGCGCUGGCUGAACCUCCGACACCCCCACCACGGCAAACGGAGGUGAUGGCGGAAGGUGAGGCAACGACAGUAGCUGGUGAGCUCCCGCUCCAAUGUCUCGCGAGUAAAGGAGGAGGAGGUGGCAUGGGAAUCGAAGAGGACACUAGUAGAGAAACGACUUUCCAUCCACCCCCUUUUGUCCCGGUUUAAAGUUGGCCCGGGACAAAAGGUUCACCAACCGGGAUUAAAACUCGGUCACUGGUGGGGGGCUCACCAACCGGGACCUUUUAUCCCGGUUGCAAAGGCUAGUGGGAAAAAAUUACUCUGAGAGGCCUUUUAUCCCGGUUUGAAACACCAACCGGGAUAAAAGACCCCCCCUUUUAUCCCGGUUGGUAACACCAACCGAGAUAAAAGGGUCAAGAGCCUUUUAUCCCGGUUGGAAACACCAACCGGGAUAAAAGGGGGUCUUUUAUCCCGGUUGGUGUUUCCAACCGGGAUAAAAGGGUCCCCCACGAGUUAAUACAAAAGGAUAGUAUCCCCUACAUAGUCAGAUGUGGUGUGUAGGUGGGAUGGUAAGGAAGCUACGCGCGAGGCUGGAGGUUGUGGGUUCGAAUCCCACGAACCGCGCACGCGCAUAUUUCGCGUGAAAAAUCGCGUGACUUGCGACUUGCGCGUGUGGGGGGGCCUCCUGGGAGCUCGGGAAUUUUUUUUUUUUGCAGCGCCGGCCGUGGGUGAACCCUUUUAUCCCGGUUGGUAUUACCAACCGGGAUAAAAGGGGGUCUUUUGUCCCGGUUGAGUGACCCGGGAUAAAAGACCCCCCCUUUUGUCCCGGUUGGUUUAUCCCGGAUGCAUUUUCGAGAUCUUUGCACCCUACCAACCGGGAUAAUAGGUGAGUUCUCCACCAGUGGGAGGCCGCCGCUGGCGGGUUUAGACUACGUGGAUGUGUGGGUAGGGUUAAGGUGACGGUGUGGACUAGUAUAUAUAAGAUGUCUGGGCUUGUUAGAAUAAGAUAACAUUCUAACCGGCCAAAUUCGGACCCGGUUAGAUUAAAUUGAUAUUCUAACCGGUCCUAUUUCUAGGUGGUAAGAAUAAGUUAACAUUGUAAUUGGCUUUAUUUGGAACCCGAUUGAAUCUUCUUGUUAUUCAAAAAAACAUCAAGUUCAUCAAUUUUAAUCCAGGAAAACAUCAAGAUAAUUUAAGCACGAUAUAUAACAAGAUUAAUACAUUUAAAAAUUGUUUGAUUCACAAAUUAACGAUAUUUAACAAAUUCAAAAAAUCCAAAUUAACAGAACACAAUAACCAAUUGUUCGAAAAAAUCAAAAUAAUCCACACACAUUAAUAUAUUACAAAUUCAGAAAUAUAUCAAAAUAAUCCCCGAUCCACUCGAUACCGUCAUAGGACUUUUAAAUACUGAGCUUCUUGAUUCGUCUGAGGUCCACCUACUCGUCUCAGUAACACUAGUGAUGGCCAUGCAUCUUGUAGAUGUCUUCUAACGAAUCAAGCUUGACGUACAAGGUCAUGCCUUCCGCUCCUUGAGGAUAACCAUCUUUGGUGAUCUUGAAAUGGCAGACGGUGGAUGUGCCAAAGGUACGUGACGAUCCUUCUAAAUGUAUGCCACCACAACUUCCGUCUGAUCGCCAUGGGUGACACCAAGAAGAGCUACCAUGCGGCAAGGGACGAACAAUUUAUCAAUUAGUGCCGCUGUCCAUCGCCAUCAUCUAAUCCAGCCAUAUCUUGUUGUAUAUUUAAGUAUAGAAAUUAAGAUUUAAAAAUAAACAGAAUAAAUUGAGAUCGAUUAUGUAUGUAUAUCAGAACAUUAGCUUUUGGAAAAAGGGCUUCGAUGGAAGAGAGGCACGGGGCAUAGAGACAACAACGAGUGACAAUAUGUCAGAAGAAUACCCGAUCACAAUUAUUGGCACACACAGCCGAUAUUUACAGUAGUCAAUACCCCUGGUAAAUAACCACACCAUCAAGAGUAAAUAGUGACAAUAUGCAGUAUAUACACGACAUAGCCUUGGCUGCCGUGGAAGCACCAGAAGGGAGACAAAUAACAGGGACCACUACAUCAAGUAGAUAGUGACAAUAUGCAAAAGAAUACCCGCGCCUGUUAGCAUGUGUGAACUGACCACACCACGAAACGUGAUACACGGCAAGCGUACCAAGGCCUUGCUGUGCAGACUAUGCAUGGACAACACAUGGUACCUGACCGCUUUUGGCCUCAGACACAUCAAAAACUGCAUCGUUCCACGUUGUACAUCCAUUGCUAGUUUAUCUAUAUUACAUAAUAUAUUAUUAGCUAUUUGAAUAGAAUGAACCAAUUAAAAAAUUACGUUGUAUUUUAGUACCGGCUGCAGGAUGGUGUUACCAACCAGUACUAAUUGGCCUGUAGGAGUGAUGGUUAUUAGACUUGGUACUGUUGUUAGCAUCAUUAACCUAAUUGUGCGCCGUAUGAAUUUGGGGAUGCAAAGCUAGCUCUCUAUGAAUGUGAGGGAUGGAAAGCUAGUUCUCUAGUAGUAAUUAUAUAUAUGACAGUCAGGAAAUCGAACACUAUGCUGCUACGAGUCACCAUCAUUUCCUUCAUUGACAAUCUGACAUAGGUGAAGCUGCUUCAAUAAUUUCCUUCGCGCAGUCGUGGAGCUUAUUGGAUUAUCACCAGGACGGGACACGGAAAUGGCCAGCAAUGAAGCUGAUUGCCGUCUGAGGAAGACUACAUACUUACCUAUGAAAUGAAGCGAUUGCAUAGACUAAUGAAGCAUUGCAUAUUUGCAUGUGAGUGUGGCAGAUAAUUCUGCAGGACAUGAUUGCAAUCCACGCACCAUCGAGAAGACUGGGGCGAUGGGGUUGCCUCAUCAAUAAUCACGUGGAUGCAUGCAUGCAUGUUCCCUCAACCGGACAAGGGUCUGAUAUAUGGCUAUAGUAUUACUGAGCCCACAUCAAUAAUUUCCGCUGGUGUAUCGUGUGGGAAGAAUCAACAUACUACACCUCUGAGUUCUUGGAACUAACUGACGUUCACAUGCAACCUCCACAAGGUGCUGUAUGCUUUUGACAUUCACCUGCCAGUUCGUGUAGAGGACACCCUAACGUAUGGUUAAUAUUAUCCAUUUCAUGAGUAAAAUACUGUGAUUCAAAAAUACUUCAAAUCCCUUGAGACAAUACUUCUCACUUGACUAACCACUAACCAACCCCGAAACCCUAACUCAACUCCGAACCCUAACCCCUAACGGCAUAACCACUCCGUUUUGCCGGCGAGAUGGAGGAACUGGCUGGAAGGUAGAGAGGGCAGCGGUCCAGGGUUGAAAACGACGGGCGAGCGCAGUAACAUGUGGAGGAGGAAGUGCCACGUAUUCGUUCACCGCUAUUGGGCAGCGACACACGACACGCCCAAUAAGAUCUUCGCACGGUAGAAGGACGUCAUGUAUUCAAUAAUGUUAUUGGUCCCCCAUGUGCAGAAGGGCGCGCGCGUAUGGAAUAACAAGUAGGGACACUGCAACUAAUCUACUCUGCUCGUCCAGUCCCUAGCCUAUAAAUAGAUGCCAUGCUAGCUCUUGUUGUGCUCACAAUUAAUCCGAUUACACACGAGCUUCUCUCCCUGGCCAAGACACAACCAUAGUAUGAUGAAGAACAUGGCACUAGCCGGCAAUGGUAUGAAGAAGUUAAUCCUCGCUGUUCUCUUACUGUGUCUAGUUAUAGGGCAGAUACAAGUGGAAGCUAAGAGCUGCUGCCCAUCCACCACUGCAAGAAAUGUCUACAAUACCUGCCGUUUCACGGGUACAUCCCGUCCAACGUGUGCAAAACUGUCAGGCUGCAAAAUUAUCAGCGGGAACAAAUGCAAGCCCCCUAACGACCACCUCACCCUUGACCCGGACACUGGUAAAUAAUAAAUUUAUCUCACUUGAUUUCUUCGUGAUUUGAGUCGUUAAUGUAUUUUCCAUCUGAUGAAACGUAUUGGUUUUGCAUUGAAGAGGAAGUUAAUGUGCUUAACUUCUGCAAGUUGGGGUGUGCGUCGUCUGUGUGCAACAACAUCAACGCUGGUAAGCAACUUUUGCUCAGACAGAGAAAACAAUAAUCAUUAAUUAGCGGCAGCUAGAAUCCUAUAAUCUAAUAUAUAUAUAUAUAUAUAAUUUUAUCAGCUCUGGGAAAUGAAGAGGCGAACGAUGCCGUUGAGAGUUGCGACCAAGCCUGCUCUAGCUUCUGCAGCGUGCAUGUUGGCAGCGCCACCGUGGUUGCUUAAGCAAAUGCAUCCAACUAGAUCGUCCUUGUGCUGAAUAAUUGGAUAUCGUAUCCACUUAAAGCUGCCUUGUGUAGUACGUCUUUGUGUCUCUCUUUAUAUUCCAAUAAGGUCGGUGAUCUUGAUGCCACACACUCAGAUGUGUGUUCAUCUCCAGAUACUACUCCAUGCUACCUGCCCUUUGUGUUUUGUUCAAUAACUGGGUAUCAUAUCCCAGCCAGUAUGCCGUCUGUUUUGUGUUUGUUUCCUUCUAGUUCCAAAGGGGUCAUCAUGAUGUUACCUUCUUUCAAUAUGGUGCUUUGCAUGACUACUGUUGUAUGGUACCAUCUUGUGGCCAAUAAGUACAUCUUAUCCUAUGACCUUUGCUAUGACCCUUUGCAAAUAAGUAGAAGAUUGUUAUAAGCGUCAAUACUCCGUAUAAAUUGAUCGCUGCUGUGAGUUCCCUUUCAGCUUAUCGUAGGCAUACAUUAUUGCUAGCACGGUAAAGCCAACCAACACGAAUGAUGAAGUAAACGUAGCGGUACUUCUGUAUACCAACACCCUUACUUAAAUGUACCGGUGUCAUUCCCUACUGGCACAUAUAUUCUUAUAUGCUAGCCAGCUUGUAAAAUUAACCAAUUAAAAUAAUUAUUUCAAGAUAGAAAUAACUUAUCGGUUUCUGGAAGCAUGUGUAAUGUGAAUUCAAGGACUCGACGGAAGUUGAAUCACUUCAUCUAUAUUGCUUUCAGUAUUUUGGGUAACUAAAUUUAACAUUUGCACAUACAAAUGUUAAAGUACAAAUGUUAAAUCUAGUUACCCAAGCAGAAUAUGAAGAUAGUUUAUAGUAUAUAUAUACUAUAUAAAUCUAGUUAACAUUUAGUCUAAAUGUUAAAUCUAGUUACCUAAAAUCCUGAAAGCAAAAUGUAUAAAUAUAUAUCUUUUAAGGCAGUAUAAGCUUCGAUUCCUAUUGCUGCUCUGUUAAAUCUCAUCUUUCGUUGUGGCCCAACACUCUAGUAUGCAUGUUGCACCAAGCUUCUUUGAGCCGCUCUGCCCUCUGAUUUUGCUGCGUAGGGGAAUCUUUAUCAGGUUGGGCUACUUCCAGUUGUGCGAUGUAAAGAUUCGUAUUUUCUAGAAGGUAGACAAAAAACUCGCGUUCUCUUAAGGCAACAACCGGAAGAUUCUGCAGCGCACAGGGCAUACCAUUAUUGUAGAAACGACCUUUAGUACCGAUCUCCAACCCCCUUUAAAACUGGUUUUGCAACCGGUACCGUUAUGUCGGUCCUUUAGUACCAGAUCAAAUAAGUACCGGUUGGUAACCAGUAUCAACUUGUUUUGCGGCCAAAAAAAUAAAGAAAAAAACAGUCAGAAGGCUCGCGCACACGCGCAUCACAUGAAAUAUGCGUGUGCGGGGUCCAUGGGAUUCGAACCCAUGAAAUCAAGCUGCGCGCGACCCUUCGUUACCAUCUCACCUACAUAGCGCAUAUGCUUUCCUGAAGUAACCCGUGGAGGAGGCUUUAGUACCGGGUCAUAACACCACCCGGUACUAAAAAUGACUCUUCAGUACCGGGUCAUAACACCACCCGAUACUAGUAUCGGAUGGUGUAAUGACCCGAUACUAAAAGGCCUCUAGGGACCCUCAAAUUUGAACCCGGUACUAAUGCUAAUAUUAGUAGCGGGUCAAAGUGCAGCCAGAACUAAAGCAUGGGAUGAAAGGUCAUAUUUCUAGUAGUGUAUAGUUGUUGUGAAGGACUGACUUGGCUGUCCUCUCUCUUCUCCAUCCCCUUGGUCUUACGCCGCCGCUCGCACGCGAGCCGGUGCCCAACCAGAGGAGUGAGAGCUAGGGGCAGGUUGGGAGGUGGGGAUAGUGACUGGUGGCCAGGGUGAUGGUUGAUCCUGGUGGGGUUAGGGUUUUAGGGUUUUCGAGCUUCCUAUGGUCGGCGAACCUAGAGGAGGAGCUCAACAUCAGCUGCAACCCGCGAUGGUGGUGGUUUGGCCGGCGCCCGAGGCGAGGCAGCGCGGGAGUGCUGCCGGUGGGUUGGUGUUGGCACUCAUUAUUGACAACUAUUUUGUUCAUAAAAUAACACUCAAACUUGCUGCUGCUGCUGCUGCUGCCAUCGCCACCCUAGCCAUAAUAUAAAGGCAAAAUUUGCUAAAGGACAUGCAAAAUGAUGCUAGUUUGCUGGCGGGCAUCGUUGACCUUGUAAUAUGCUACAAGACACUCUAGUUGUGUAUCAAUUUGCUGAAAGACAUUGCUAUGACUAAAAUAAUGUUUCUGGACUGAGUUGGAGAGAGAGAUGGAGUGAAAUGUCUGUUUUGCCCAUGACCCCACUGGUCAGAUCCUUCUUCUUCCACCCUCCUUUGUUCUUUCUUCAACCAUUACCCAGCUCCAGCGUGUUGCAGAUCUACGAGGGUGGCGGCCUGGGGCGAGGGGCAUCGCUCGCCCUUGGAGGAGCGCUGCGAGCGACGGCGCGGGGGCGGCAACAGCGCGUCAGAACCUGACUGUUCGUUAGCUCCUCUCGCUGCUGGGGAAGGAGGGGGAUGGGCCAUGGACGGGGUUCCCUUGAAAACCUCAGCGUCGAGCUCGGGCGGCUACGCGCAGGCAGCACUAGGCUGCUUCACGGGGAGGGGGCGCGGCCAAUCAUUGGCACCCCACUGGUCCAAUGCUGAUGAAGAUGGUGCCAGCGUCGUGUGAGGACAUCUCAUCUCCUCGAGUUCCAUGGCCAGCACAGGUGAGCUGCCGCUACCACAAAACAGAGGUUUCGUGAGAGUCAAAAAACCUUAUGAAAAUAGCUAAAACCAUCAUGAAAAUAAUCCGUGACAUGACACUCUCACGAAAAUCCUCUCACAAAUAUGGUGCCAUGAAAAUACCAUUUUCAUGAGAGUGAACUGUCAUGAUUUUAUUUCGUGAGAGUAUUUCCUAUCAAUGACCUCCACGAAAUACUUUGUGCCACCAGGUCUUCAAGAUCAUUUUCAUGAGAGCUGAACAUCAGGAAAAGUCCGCCACAAAUGUUUUUCUUGGAGCCCCUAACUCUCAUGAAAAUCAUGCGGGCCGCCACGAAAAACAGCAUGACCAAAUGACAAAUUUCAUUUUCAUGUGUUCAUACCGCCAUGAAAAUGGUCAUUUUCAUGAGAGUUGAUGAAACAAAAAAUAGUGCCAUUUUCAUGAGAGUUCAAGCAACCAGGAAAAGACACUAAUAAACAUCCAGAUCCCAUCCAGCACACAUCCAUGCACAUAUAUAACCCACAUAUUGCUCCAGCACACAUCCAUGCAUAUACAAGAUCCAAAUGUUAAUAUAGUAGACAUCCAUGCCUGAACUAGUCUGCCACACAAGUCAUUGAUGCUACAAAUCCUACAAUCGCAGCAUGUGCAUACAAGUCACAGAAUGAGACAAUGUACCCAAAACUAAAAGGUUAGCAUCAACUGUGCUUCAACCAAAGUUGUCAUCCCAACUCUCCUCUUCAUCCAUGCCAUUCUUGUCGUGGCCGUCACUGUCAGUCCCCAUGGCAUUGCCAAUGCUGUGCAUGUCUUGGUAGGAACCUACAUGUGAUGAACUAGUAACCUGCAAAAAGAGCUCAAAGGAUCUUGUUCUCAUAUUGUAGCUGUGAAAUUCUUACAAGUAGUGUUGCAAUCAGUUCACUUUGAACCAAAAGAGCUCAAAGGAUCUUGUCCUAAAAGUUCCUCAUAAAGCUUAUGGGUUUGCUGGUGGAACUGGAAGGGCUUGAUGCAGCAGAUGCCAUUCUGCAAUAGAGAAAAAUUUAGAGAGCAGUACUAGUUAAAAUUGGAUGCAGAAGAUACACAUGAAACUAGUAUUUAUACAAGUCUAUACAAUUAAAAUCUAAGGAGACUUAUCAUCGUUUUCAUGUGUUGUGAAUUAAAAUAAUGAAGGAUACACUGUUAGGUGAAAAUUCAAGAAACAAAAUUUUGCAUAGAGAUAAAGGUCCAACAUUAUUACAAGUUAAGGUAGUUUUAAAUAUCCUUGUAAUCUUCCUUUGGUUUCCUCAACGAUUCGAAGACAAUAACCUUGCUUCUAUCAAUGAUAAUUAUAAGGAGAAUCCAGUGGAAACUGUGUAUUCGUAUUAGAACUACCUAAGGUUAAUUAGGUUAGGAAAGGAAAUUGAAAAUAGAUGGUACCCACACUUACUUAAAGUUGUCGGGCAAUAGUAUGUAAUGCUUGUAAUUCCGUUGCUCCAAGAAUUUGUAUAUGUGGUCCAAUGUAGACUUUGGUUGAUCCCGUAUCUGCUGUUGGUUAAAUAAGUGUUUCUAGCCAUUUCUAGCCAUUAGAACCGGGACUAAAGGGGGCUCUUUAGUACGGGUUGAUAUUACUAACCGGGAUUAAAGAGCCCCCAUUAGAGUUGGUUUUUGGAUGCGGAACUAACAACUCCUUUAGUCCUGAGUACGAAAACAACUGACAUAUUUGUUGCUGGAUGGAAGGUCCUUUCUCUACCGUGAAUAUUGCCAGAAAGAAUUGAAAGAGACUGCUUGCUAAAAAUAUGUCAUAGAUGUAGACCAAGCUACCAAGGAGGUAGACCAAACAUGAUACACACCAUGCGUACCUUGCUGUGCAGACUAUGCAUUGACAAGAUACCCGACCACAUGUUGGCCUCGGUCACAUCAAAAGAAUCAUGUAGGCCACCAAUAAACUACUUGAAGCGGCAUUCCGUAUCGUAUAUGCAUUGCCGGUUCAUCUGCAUUACAUUACAUAAAGCACUAUUAACUAUUUGAAUAAAAUGAACCAAUUUAAAAGUAAUGUGUUGUACUCUACUAUAGAAAGCCCUAUCACUGCCGGAUCCAAAAACAUCAUUGUUAAUGGUGGUUAAGUACCAAAUAUGACGGUCAAUAUUCUCAAGAAUAAUGGAGAAUUAGCAUUUCUUAGACACAUAUUUGGUUUUGAACAAUGUAGUUCCACAUGUCUUUGGAGAUUAUUUGGGUGUGGGUGAAAUAAUACAAAAAUAAGGAGAAAACACACUCCCAUGGCGAAGAAACACAACUCCAACCAAUGAGAGAUAGCCACAGGGGCAGCACACGGAUCCAUGGGCCCACUAACCGCAUCAAACCAUCUUACCAAGGCAGGUAGCACCCACAACCGUCAUUAGGACCCACCUGGAAGUCUACCAAGAAGAAGGUUGCGAGUGGGGCCAGGAGGGGUUCGGUUGAAUCAUCUCUAGCUAGCUCCCCUCAUCCCCAGCUGGUGGGUGGUGGUGGUUGAUGGUGUCCCUACAUCAGUUAGAGGAGAUUCCCCCAAAUAUUCCUCCUGUAAACCACCUCUAUGGACCUAUACAUAGAGGGGUGUGCUCUCCAUUCCAACACACACCACAAGUUGAAUCACUCUCUCCCUCUUUAGUUUCCAAGUUUAUGGAGUUAGGCUAGAGUAGCUCUGCUCAAGGUUCCAAGUCCACUUGGAGUUAAGCAUAUGUCUCUUGUAUCGUUAUUUCCUAAAUUGACUUUAUGCUUAGUUCUUAUAUGCAUGAGUUAGUCUAAUACCCUUGCUAUAUUGAUAUGCUCGGCUUAUAUGCUCGUAUGCUAGUCAUAUACCCUUGCUGUCGUAGUAUAGGCUUAUAUGCUCUCAUGUGUGCCUGUAGACCUUGCUAUAGUAUAUACUUGUUGUGCAUACAUACCAUGUAUAGGCUAGUCGAUCUAUACCAUGGCAUUGGUUCAAUAGCCAUGUUUUUGGUGGCUCCAACCCUAGUCACAAUAGCUCGGGACAGCUGGAGUGUUGUUAAAAAUGCAAGAGUGGUGCUUGGGUUGUUUAGCAUCGUUGGAUAUGGGUUUGCCCCACGGGUUUCUAACGGUAGGCGGCAGCUAGUGACAUCCCUGUCCGUCCUUCGUAAUCCCCCCACAUUCAGGUACGCCAUAAAUGUUCGUAAAUUAGCAGUAACUACGCCGGUACACCUGUAGGGUAUUGUCUCCCUGUAGUACCUUGGUGCAUAGAACUAAGUCCUAUACACUGUGUGUGUAUGUUUACGCUGAUAUGAUCUGUGCAGUAUAUAGGAUGUAUAUAUGAACCUAGAGCUAACUCCUAGUCCGUUCUCCAUAGCUUAGUUAUCUUGAGAUGAUUCUUCUGUAUGUGUAACACUACCCAUCUUAUCAUUAUCCUUGAUCCUGUCUUGUGUAAUAUAUCUACUCAUCCUAUGAUAUACUCAUAUGCAUAGUAAACUAUUUUGACCUACCCGCCUUCCUUUGGGAAAUAUGAUACCUUGGAAUAAUCCUAGGUGAAAUCCUACAACGGUAUAUCCAUGUAAAUGCGGAUUUAUUCAUGACCAUUAAAUAUACCAACAAUCAUCACUGUGAGUUUUGGGCGUCGUUAGUGAAGGGUUGGUAGUGAUGGGCAUCCCCUUCACCAAUGGACCUGGAACCGGCGGUGAUGGCUAUUAUAAAAAAGGGGACACCACCCAGCGUACCCCACGACCCGGCCGGCCGCACCUCCCAUCAUCCCCGCCAGCCGCCCUUCCUUUUCGCCGGCCGAGCAUGGUCCCGGCCUUUGUCCCUACCACCUCGCCUCCACCGCGACCCCCCGCCGAUGCCCUCGUGCCUGGCCCCCCUCAUCUUGCCGGCCACCCUCCCGAUGCGUCCACUGGGGCCCUCGCACCACCAACCGCCCUUGCUUAGAGAGGGAGAGAGAGGAGGGAGGUGAGGCCACGCACCUCGUCCUACACCGCCGCUGUUUCUCCUCGGCCCACCGCGCCUCACCCCACACCACAGCCGCGCCUUGCCAUCUUACCGGCUGUGACGCCUCAUCUCACCGGCCACCGUUCCUCACCCCCACUUCGGUCGUCGCCGCUCCUUGCCCUACCGCUGCUCUUUGCCGCUGCGAAUGAGCGCCGAGUGGAGGAGGAGGGAUGGGGCAGGAGGAGGGCAAGAUCCGGGAGGAAGGGAGAGAUCUCGGGAGGUGGAGAUGGAAGGAUAUGGCGGAAGGGAGAGAUCCAGAGGGAGAGAGCAGGGGAGAGAGGGGGGCGUGUGGGGAGAGAGCGCGUGUGGGGUGGGGCCGGGCUGGUGGGAUGGAAGGGAGAGGGGCUAGACGGGCGCAGUGCAUUCAACUGGAUGAAGUAAAUAUUUUGGAUUCGAGACCCCAGCUUUAUUAUCACCGCUGGUCCGUAGUACCAUCCGGUGCCUGCUCGUAAUUUAAUUUGAAUCUGCGGUGAUGUUUUAUUAUCACCAUCGGAUCAUAUAAAAAUCCGGCGGUUAAAAAUCCGCUGGUUUCGAUGAAAACCGACGGUGAUAGGAUGACUGUGAUAGUCUCUUCUCUAGUAGUGGUAUAUUAGUACCGGCUGCCGGAUGGUGUUGCCGACCAGUACUUCUCCGGGGGCGAUUCAGUACUGCUGUUAGCAAAGCUUGUUCUCUAUGAAUUUGGGGAUGGAAAGCUAGUUCUCUAGUUGUGAUUUGUUACAUAUAUAUCUAUGAUAGUCUAGAAAUUGCAUGUCCUUCGUUGACAUAGUUGAAGCUGCUUCAAGAAUUUACUUCGUGCAGUCGUGCAGCAUAUUGGAUUAUCACCUAGACAGGAUACAUAGGUGAAGCAUUGGAUGUGAUUGUGGCCGAUAAUUAUGCAGGACGCUGUUGCAAUCAACCACCAAGAAGUCUGGAGUGAUGGGGUUGCCUCAUCAAUAAUUUUUAUAUAUGGCUGCAGUAUUAUUAAGCCCACGUCAAUAAUUUUUUGUCCGCACCAUAUAUCGAUGGGGUUGCCUCAUCAAUAAUUCGCGCAACCAGACAAGCUGCAGACUCAAUAUGGUACGAAGCUAGUUGCUCAGCCCACAUGCUCUGAUAUAACAUUGACAUCUGCUGAUCUACAGUAUAUAUGACCAGAAAUAUUGUGCCCACCUCAAUAACUUUCUGAAGUAUCGUGGGGAAGAACCUACGCGUACUAUGCCUCGGAACUAACUGACAUAUCGGCCCAGGCGGUCUAGGCCGAUUGGACUGGCUCUUCCUUGUGGCUUCUCACAUCCCCUUCGUCCCCAAGUAAUUUCAGGUGUUCUGUAGUUUUCUUUUCACUUGCAUCUGAGCCUCCUAUAUCAAUAGCUUCGGGAUAAGAAUGCCUCUUGAUAACCUUCCAAAUCCUCGCUUGAUUCACAUUGAUUCCGAAAUCAUCUUGCCAUAUCUUCAGAGACUUAGGUCCUAAGGCAUCAUGGAGGAUUGCUCGCCAAGAAUGAGCACCAUUGGGCUCCUGAGGACCCUAGGCCGAUCAGCCCGGGCUCUAUAGGUCGAUUGGCCCAGGCCCUCUCUGGGCCUGUUGGCCUUCAUCUUUCUUUGAGUCGACGCUUAUUCAGGGCUUUGUCCAAUUAUAGUCCAUUAUAGUCUAAUUUCCUAAAAAACAGAAUGUCCUCCAAAAUACAAUGCAUAUGUGAAAACAACCCAAUUAUUAGGUAUGAUCAAUAGUUUAGGUAUUAAAUUAAUAUUAUUAUUUAAGAUAAACAGGGGUAAAGGGUGUCAUUAAUAACAAGCGCCAACAAGCGUCCUAGCUGUUCAAUAAAUUUUUUCUAGUACCGAUUGGUAACACUAACCGGUGCUAAUAUGUACCCUUUAUUACCGGUUAUUUUACCAGGUACUAAAGGAGACAAGAGCAUCCUAACAUAAGGUUAAUAUCAUCCAUUUCAUGAGUAAAAUACUAUGAUUCAAAAAUAAUUCAAAUCCCUUAAGACAAUACCUAUCAAAUGAGUAAAUUGUAAAUAGAGUAAUCUUGAUCAAACAAUGUCCUAAUGAAACGGAACACUUCUGGUUCGUGUAGAGCACAAUAUAGAAAACAGUAGGGUAGCUGUAUGAUUGACACGUGGUCCAUUAAUUAUUGAGCCAACACUAUGGACAUGUCUUCAUGAGUAGUGUACUAGUCAUAAUACAUGGUAUGCAGUAGGUGGAGGUAUUGACUUAGCCAUGCUAUGAGCACUUAGUUACAACAAACACUUUGCCAUUAUCGAGCAUCCCAAAUCACUACAAAAUCCAUAGUUUACCAUAUACUACAAAAUCUGAGUUAAAAUAAGAGCAUACACGGAAGAGUCCGAAUGCACGGCACAUUGAAUUACUAGACAAAAUUUAUGGGACAAGGUUUUGGGUAACCGCAUGAAAAAUAUUGGAUUUUACUGAACACUUAGUUACAAUUACCAUGCCCGUGAGCACUUAGUCACCACAAACAUUUAACCACUUUAGAUCAUCCUGAAUCCCUAUAAAUUCUAUACCUUACACCGUACCAUGAAAACGACAAGAACAGAGACAGAUGCGGUGAAAAUCUCCAGAGCAAGCCUGAAAUUAAAAUAAGAGGAGGCAGUCACUAUCGACAGGACACGGAGAUUGCUAGCCAUGACAGAGGAAGACAUGAUAUGAUAUUCACCUCUGAAAUGCAGCGUAGACUAAAUGAAGCACAAUUGCAAGUGAGUGUGGCAGAUAAUGGACCAUCGAGACCAUCGAAUGGUAUGAAGCAUGAUUAUCACCUAGACAUGAUAUCCUAGACAGGACGGUGAAUUGUAAAAAGAGUAAUCUUGAUCAAAGAAUGUCCUAAUGAAACGGAACAUUUUUGGUACGUGUAGAGCAAAAUAUAGAAAACAGUAGAGUAGUUGUACGAUUGAAACUGCAUCCAUCGACGUGGUGCAUGAAUUGUUGAGCCAACACUGUGGACAUGUCUUCAUGAACACCAUCUAGUGAGGACAGCAUGCAGAAAAAUAUAAAAACAUGUCAUAGGGAGGCAGACCAAUCUUGCGAGGUAGACGAAACGUGAUACACGAUCUGCCUACCUUGUCGUGUGGAUACCCCAAGUGAAGAUGUCAUAGAGGUGCAGACCAAGCUAGCAAGGAGGUAGAUGAAACGUGAUACACGGCCUGCCUACCUUGCCGUGGAUAUUAGUCCUGAUAUCAUUCUAUUGUUCAAGGAAUAACACUCAAUGCUGCUGCUGCUGCUGACCUGGCUCCAUAAAGUUAUAUUCCUCUAGCCGCUUGCACUAACUUUAUCUGAAGUAUUAUUCUCUCUGCACUGUAUAUAUGGUUACGGAGUUUGCUGGAGUAUCCGGGGGGAAGAACCUACAUAAUAUGUCUUGGAACUAACUGACAUUGAUUCACAGACAAGGUGCUGUUGUUGACAUGGUACAGUAAAUAAUAUAGUUUACCAUAUACCGUAUACCAUUAUAUGUUAGCUAAAAUAAGAGCAUAACAUGUCGCAGGAGUCCAAAAGCACCGGUUGAGGACCAGGUACAUUAAAUUACUAGAAAACAAAAGGGGACAAGGUUUAGGUAGCCACAUGAAAAACAUUUGAAUUUACUGUACCAUGAACACUUAGUUACCAUGCCGGGAGCACCUAGUUAACACUAACAUUUAGCCACUUUAGAUCAUCCCGAAACACCAAUGACCCUCAAUAGCGACAAAUUUUGGUUUAAAUGCCGUCACCAAUGAUCCUCAAUAGUGACGUGUUUAGGUUUAAAUCCCAUCACUAAUAACCCUUGGUAGUGACGUGUUUUGGUUUAAAUCUCAUCACCACUGAUCCUCACUAGUGACGUGUUUUUAGCAACACACGUUAUGAAUGACUUGUCAUUGGUGACAUGUUAAACGCGUUAUCUCAAUGGCAAAUCAAUGGUGACGUGUUUAAAAAAACAUGUCACUGUGAGAGUUAUUGGUGAAGGGUAAUUAAAAUGCAUCACUAAUUUUGUAGCAUUAGUUAUGAUAUAAUUUUGUAACGCAAAAAUCUACCAUAGUAAUGAGGUUUAGAGCCAUCACUAAUGUGGGUUUCUUAUCGUAGUGAUGCAAGCUCUACAAGGUGCUGUUGUUGCCAUUUUAAAGCAUCCCAAAUGACUACAAGAGUCCGGUUGAGGACUAAACAAAUUGAAUUACUAGAACCAAAUGUAUGUCCAGAACAAAGAAAGGGGUCAAGGUUUGGGUAACCGCAUUAAAAACAUUGAAUUUUACUGUACCAUGAACACUUAGUUACCAUUACCAUGCCUUGAGCACCUAGUUACCACAAACAUUAAUUUAGCCACUUUAGAGGUUCCACAAUCACUAUAAAUAAUAUACCAACACCGUACCAUGAAAACAUCAAGAAGAGAGACGGGUACAUGGACCACCAUCAAGUGAGUAGUGACAGCACGCACAAGAAUACCCGGAACCUUUUAGCUUGUCUGUAGUGAUCUGUUUUCUUCGCCACAAAUAAUGAAAGAGGCUGACCAAGCUAGCAACGAGGUAGAGCAAACGUGAUACACGUAGGUUUCAUUCAAGACAUCCAUGUAAGAUUCAUUCAAAACAUUCAUGGAAAUUUCUUGUAAGUUUUCAUGUAAAUUUCAUUCAAGACAUUUGUUAGAGGUGUUGUAUAUACACUUAACGUACAUAUAUCUAUGAUUUCAUGGUUGUUAGUGAUGGCAGAUGAGGAGCAUGCAAGGUGUUUAAUGGAGCAGAUUAUUGCUAGUGGUAGUGGCUCCAACCUGCCCGUAACGUACACCGACGAAGAGGGCAGCCAGGCGGACAUGUUCCUCAACAUGUCCGGUGAUGGCAAUGAAGAGCCCGAGCAAAACCUUGCCGUGACGGAAGGUUCCAUCGAGGUAUAUAUCAUUUCCAUUAUUUUACCCCAUCUAUAAUUUCAUAUUCAUUAUUACUAUGUGCUAAUUAAUGAAUCUUGAACCGUUAGUCCUCUAGAUCAACGAACCGAAAUAAGCCCCGAGGUCUUACAAAGAUAAUGCAGGGAAGGCUUCACAUCAUGGAAGUCACAGAAGAGGGCACAUCGGUUGCUCCCGAACAUGUGGCAAGAAAGUACGUGAGUCAAACCGGGGCAAUCGUAAGGGACAACAUGCCCAUCAGCAUCAGGGAAUGAAAGAGCAAUAGAAAUGAUCUAUACGCACCCCCGGAUACACAAAAGGAUAUGUUGUGGGCAAAUAUCAAGAAACACUUCACAUUUCCCAAAGGAUAUGUUGAAAAAUAUGUGAAAGCGUGGAUGUUGAAGAAGAUGGCCACCCAAUUCCAGACAUUCAAGAAGAUGUUGGAUGCCAACUUCAUCAAGAAGGGUCGAACUCCGGGUUUCAAUGAGUGGCCAAAGUUAAGGGACCACUGGGAGUCGUUUGUCGAAUACAAGACGAGCGAAGGUGGUGCGAGUAAGGUUCACAUCAAUGUUGCCAAUGCUAGCAAGGAGUACCAUCAUCAUCUAGGGCGACGUGGUUACAGCUCUGCAAUUCCCAGAUGGCGCAAGAUGGAACAAGACCUGAUCGAUCGGGGUAUCGUACCAGCAACUCUUGACUGGAUCGAUUGAAAAAUUGGUAUUAUGCUCAUGAAGGCAAUCUGAGCCAAGAGGAUCCGACAUUGGUCUUCAAUAAAACAAUACGUCAGAAGGUCGGAAGGCUUAUUAGGAACAUUGAAGAUGCUAAAGCUGGGAGGUUCAAGGUGGAUAGAGAGAAUGAUGAACUCACAUUGGCCCUCGGGACUGUCAUCUCUAGCACUUCCAGCUCCAGGACUAUCGUCACCACCGGGACCGUCGCUUCCUGCUCGAUCACAGUCUCCAUCUCCAGCACAUCCUGGUGGUGCGAGCGACGACGACAACAACACCCCUCCCUGCCCACCAUUGCCGGGACUAAGACCCGCAUUGAGUAAGGAACCUGCAACACCACUGAAGAAGUCGCGACCACCACCUUCAAGGCAAGUCAGCAAAAGAAGAAAGCAGAGAAGCCUAAACCCACUGAGAAGCCAGCGACUGAUAUGACCGAUGCGGAAAGAUGGAAGGCACUCAAAGAAGAAUGCAGGGAGUGGUUCAGCGAAGGCGAAGGUGAGAAAGUCGUAUGAAUCGAAUUCAAGGAUAUAUAUGAAGUGAACCAUCAGGAUGCCCUUGAUGUCUCUCUCAUCAGCGCCUAGGUUCUGUAAGUGUAUGUUUAUCUAUAAGUAAAUUUUGGCUCAUAUCAUUAUUUUUUUUGCGUGCGUCACCCUACUAACUUCGUCUUCCAUUUUAUGUAGGAUGCUAAUUCAGACGUGCCGCAUAGAAGCGUACUUCCAUGUUGGAUUCAUGGAUCCAUCCCUAGUUAACCAAAAGCCGAUACGGAAGUAGCUAGAGAAAACGUUGGAGGUGGUGUACAACCUCCUGGACAAACUAAACUACAGAAUAGGGGCAAUAUGUGAGGGUCUUGUAGGAUUCCUAGUGGACGAGGUGAUAAAUCCAUAAGGAGAAUAUCAUUCCAACGGACGAGCAUUAGACACACUGAGCAACACCUAGAUGGGAGGAUCCUAGGAAUGACCUCGACAGAUUUUGGUAUAAAUAGUAAUUGUGUAAAUACUAGUUUGAUUUGUAUAGGAAUAUACUAAGAAUUGUAUAUAUAGUAAUUGUACAAAUACUAGUUUGAUUUGUAUGAAUACUAGAUUGAUUUUAUUAUAAAAAAGUUUUAAGUCGUACGUGCAUGCGCCUACAAAGGCGCGGAUGCCUUUUAAUCCCAGUCGGAAAAACAAACUGGUACUAAAGGGGCUCGUGCCGCACCUGGCAUGACCACCCCUUUAGUCCCGGUUGAACGACCCAGGACUAAAGAUCUCCGCGUCUCAAAAAUUUUAUCUCGGAUGCUUUUUAGAGAGAUUUGAGGCCUAUCAACCAAGACUAAUAUCGAGUUUUCUACCAGUGAAACUAACUAACGUUCACAUGGUUUUGACAUUCACCUGCCAUUUGGUGUAGACAAGGGCACCCUAACAUAUGGUUAAUAUUAUUCUUGAAAGAAAAUCCUUUGAUUCAAAAUACUUCAAACCUAAUAAUACAAUACUUCUCACAUCUGAAAAAUAUGAGACGGCCCGACAGUAUUCUAAUCGACGCAAUAAUAUUUUGAGGGCAGCACUACUACAGCGACCCUCAUUCGUGCCGGUGCUGGGACUCCUAUCACGACCCUGAUACAAAUGAGGGUACAUUAUUGGUGCCAGUGCUAGAACAGCCACGAAUAACUUGCUAAACGUGCUGUUACACUCACUACAGGGACCAAGAAGGUAGAUAAAUUACACGACAUAGCCUUGGUUGCCGUGGAAGCGCCAAGAAGGGAGACAAAUUACAGGGACCACACCAUCAAGUAGAUAGUGACAAUAUGCAAAAGAAUACCCGCGCCUGUUAGCAUGUGAACUGACCACACCACGAAACGUGAUACACGGCAAGCGUACCAAGGCCUUGCUGUGCAGACUAUGCAUGGACAACACAUGGUACCUGACCGCUUUUGGCCUCAGACACAUCGAAAAACUGCAUCGUUCCACGUUGUACAUCCAUUGCUAGUUUAUCUAUAUUACAUAAUAUAUUAUUAGCUAUUUGAAUAGAAUGAACCAAUUAAAAAAUUGCGUUGUAUUUUUAGUACCGGCUGCAGGAUGGUGUUACCAACCAGUACUAAUUGGCCUGUAGGAGUGAUGGUUAUUAGACUUGGUACUGUUGUUAGCAUCAUUAACCUAAUUGUGCGCCGUAUGAAUUUGGGGAUGCAAAGCUAGCUCUCUAUGAAUGUGAGGGAUGGAAAGCUAGUUCUCUAGUAGUAAUUAUAUAUAUGACAGUCAAGAAAUCGAACACUAUGCUGCUACGAGUCACCAUCAUUUCCUUCAUUGACAAUCUGACAUAGGUGAAGCUGCUUCAAUAAUUUCCUUCGCGCAGUCGUGGAGCUUAUUGGAUUAUCACCAGGACGGGACACGGAAAUGGCCAGCAAUGAAGCUGAUUGCCGUCUGAGGAAGACUACAUACUUACCUAUGAAAUGAAGCGAUUGCAUAGACUAAUGAAGCAUUGCAUAUUUGCAUGUGAGUGUGGCAGAUAAUUCUGCAGGACAUGAUUGCAAUCCACGCACCAUCGAGAAGACUGGGGCGAUGGGGUUGCCUCAUCAAUAAUCACGUGGAUGCAUGCAUGCAUGUUCCCGCAACCGGACAAGGGUCUGAUAUAUGGCUAUAGUAUUACUGAGCCCACAUCAAUAAUUUCCACUGGUGUAUCGUGUGGGAAGAAUCAACAUACUACACCUCGAGUUCUUGGAACUAACUGACGUUCACAUGCAACCUCCACAAGGUGCUGUAUGCUUUUGACAUUCACCUGCCAGUUCGUGUAGAGAAGGACACCCUAACGUAUAGUUAAUAUUAUCCAUUUCAUGAGUAAAAUACUGUGAUUCAAAAAUACUUCAAAUCCCUUGAGACAAUACUUCUCACUUGACUAACCACUAACCAACCCCGAAACCCUAACUCAACUCCGAACCCUAACCCCUAACGGCAUAACCACUCCGUUUUGCCGGCGAGAUGGAGGAACUGGCUGGAAGGUAGAGAGGGCAGCGGUCCAGGGUUGAAAACGACGGGCGAGCGCAGUAACAUGUGGAGGAGGAAGUGCCACGUAUUCGUUCACCGCUAUUGGGCAGCGACACACGACACGCCCAAUAAGAUCUUCGCACGGUAGAAGGACGUCAUGUAUUCAAUAAUGUUAUUGGUCCCCCAUGUGCAGAAGGGCGCGCGCGUAUGGAAUAACAAGUAGGGACACUGCAACUAAUCUACUCUGCUCGUCCAGUCCCUAGCCUAUAAAUAGAUGCCAUGCUAGCUCUUGUUGUGCUCACAAUUAAUCCGAUUACACACGAGCUUCUCUCCCUGGCCAAGACACAACCAUAGUAUGAUGAAGAACAUGGCACUAGCCGGCAAUGGUAUGAAGAAGUUAAUCCUCGCUGUUCUCUUACUGUGUCUAGUUAUAGGGCAGAUACAAGUGGAAGCUAAGAGCUGCUGCCCAUCCACCACUGCAAGAAAUGUCUACAAUACCUGCCGUUUCACGGGUACAUCCCGUCCAACGUGUGCAAAACUGUCAGGCUGCAAAAUUAUCAGCGGGAACAAAUGCAAGCCCCCUAACGACCACCUCACCCUUGACCCGGACACUGGUAAAUAAUAAAUUUAUCUCACUUGAUUUCUUCGUGAUUUGAGUCGUUAAUGUAUUUUCCAUCUGAUGAAACGUAUUGGUUUUGCAUUGAAGAGGAAGUUAAUGUGCUUAACUUCUGCAAGUUGGGGUGUGCGUCGUCUGUGUGCAACAACAUCAACGCUGGUAAGCAACUUUUGCUCAGACAGAGAAAACAAUAAUCAUUAAUUAGCGGCAGCUAGAAUCCUAUAAUCUAAUAUAUAUAUAUAUAUAUAAUUUUAUCAGCUCUGGGAAAUGAAGAGGCGAACGAUGCCGUUGAGAGUUGCGACCAAGCCUGCUCUAGCUUCUGCAGCGUGCAUGUUGGCAGCGCCACCGUGGUUGCUUAAGCAAAUGCAUCCAACUAGAUCGUCCUUGUGCUGAAUAAUUGGAUAUCGUAUCCACUUAAAGCUGCCUUGUGUAGUACGUCUUUGUGUCUCUCUUUAUAUUCCAAUAAGGUCGGUGAUCUUGAUGCCACACACUCAGAUGUGUGUUCAUCUCCAGAUACUACUCCAUGCUACCUGCCCUUUGUGUUUUGUUCAAUAACUGGGUAUCAUAUCCCAGCCAGUAUGCCGUCUGUUUUGUGUUUGUUUCCUUCUAGUUCCAAAGGGGUCAUCAUGAUGUUACCUUCUUUCAAUAUGGUGCUUUGCAUGACUACUGUUGUAUGGUACCAUCUUGUGGCCAAUAAGUACAUCUUAUCCUAUGACCUUUGCUAUGACCCUUUGCAAAUAAGUAGAAGAUUGUUAUAAGCGUCAAUACUCCGUAUAAAUUGAUCGCUGCUGUGAGUUCCCUUUCAGCUUAUCGUAGGCAUACAUUAUUGCUAGCACGGUAAAGCCAACCAACACGAAUGAUGAAGUAAACGUAGCGGUACUUCUGUAUACCAACACCCUUACUUAAAU